GGGAGUGCUGGUGGUGGUCAAAGUUCUCUGGGUUACCUGUUUGGAGAUGGUGAGCCUGCAAAGCCUGCUGCAGCACCAGCUGCGAAGGCCCCACCUGCUGAGAAACCAGCACAAGCACCUGCUGAUGUAGCCAAGCAGGUUCCAGCUGGCAUUCCAGGUAGCCGGGCGAACAACUAUUACCGUGCAGAUGGCCAGAACACUGGCAACUUCCUUACGGUAUGUGUUUUGCCCUUGUAAUGAACCCAAUCUGAUCCAGCUAGUUAUCCUUCUAAAAUUUCAUCGGUGAAUUAUAUCAAAAGUUUCCAUUGACAUAAGUUUAAUCACCGUUAGCCUCUCCAUUAUUAAUAUUUUUUUGCUAGAAGAAUCUUCUGCCCAGUGCAGUUUUCACAACUACUCUCUAUUUCGGUUCAUGUUAACCCUCCAAGAAUUCAUCUUGCUUUGUGUUAUUUAUUACUACAGUUAUUAGUACAGCCAAGAAAAUAUCGGUUCAUUCCCCCCAGGGAUGUAAGCUAAGCAAAUGAGUUAAAUCGUCUUUUUAUUCAGCCUACUUGAAUGUUUGAUUUUCAAGUAUUGAAGUACAUGGCAUGUCUUCUAAAGAUGGUCAUUUUGGGGCCCCCUGUUUGUUUAGCAUGCGUGCUGAUAAAUGUGUGUGCCUUCUGUUUCACCUGCUGACCACUGUUUUUAAAACCCUCGCAGGACCGUCCUUCAACUAAGGUUCAUGCUGCCCCUGGCGGUGGCUCGUCCCUGGGCUACUUGUUUGGCGGAAAGUGAUGUUAAUGAUGCUGCUUGAUGAACGAUGAAUCGGCCUGUAUCUCUGUUAUCCAUGUGGUGAAAACUGGAAAGUGUUUGGUUUCAGCAGUUUACCACCUGCGUCGAUGUACUCUGUCUGUAUGGUUCAUUGUGUCCAGGCUGACCUCCUGCUUGGAAGCCAGCUUGCCUAAAACCUGUCGCUUUCAAACUAAUCGUUUUCAUCUCAAAAGUUGGUGUGCCUAAUUCAUUGUUUGCCUCACCCUUGUUGUCCCAAACCUGCUUUUAUGUUGUUUUAGCAUGCCCCUCUUAUGUUUGGAUGAAUCAUUGAUAACAUUUGGGCGUGGCUACAUGUAAGUCGCCUGACUAUUGUUUUGAACCGUUUCAUGAAGAUCGUAUGGCUCUUCUUCCUCAGGUCUUCUUCCCCAGACUGACGCGAUAGCUGGUCGAACUUCCUGUGACCACUUCCAGGGAGGCGCAGCCUUGCCACCCUGCCCGCACCGCCGGUCUUGCCAAACCCUUGGCCAUCCCUCUAGCCCUGCCUGUGUCCGGUUUUUUUUUCCUGCGCUGCUGACCCCAUCCCUUCCCCAAGAGCAUCUCUAGCAGUGCCCCCCUCCCCCUCUGCCAAUUUUUUUUUGUCGGCGGGAAAAAACGGUCCAGUCGCGUUCCCAGGAGCCGAGCCCCCUUUUCACCGGUUAAGGCCGAAAUUGGUUGGGGGGGGGGGUUGGUGGGAACAUUUUUGGCACGGAAAAAACUCUCAGAGCCGCCGAGUCACCGACUGGCGCGCACGGUCGUUGUCCUUAUAGCCUUGUUUCCUGCAGAAACCAAUGCAACAGGCCGCGCCGUCGGUUAACCUUCCAUUGAUUCACGGGCGACGGUGCAGUCCUGGUACCAUCGCCGCCCUCUGGUUCUGACCGAUGGGCGGAGAUCGCGCGCAUCCGGUCGUCGCUGUUGGAGAGAUCGCGCAACCUGCCGAAGUACACCCCCGACAACAACACACUGUGGACGACGUACUACGAACGCCGGCACCCGACCAGCUCGCCGUCACCAACGGGGUCGAACCUCGCGGCCGCCACAACUCCGAGGGACGCCACCAAUGGUGGGGCGUCCCCGACCGCACAUUGGAGGCCGUCCUCAAGCACAUCGAGGGCGGCAACUCGCUAGGUACGAGUACCCACCGCCACCCGCCUUCUCCCACCACCGCGGUAGCUCCUGGACUCCGAGGUGGAUGGAGACCCCCCCCCCCCCCCUUCGGGUCGUCGGCGCUCUUCCCCGUAAAGGCGGAGCCGCAGGAGACACUGCCGGGGUGGCGCACGCGCAGCGGCAUCAUCGCCAUCAAUGAGCCCGACGCCUCCUCCCGCCUCGUCAAGCCGAAGACGGAGCUAGGACUCCUCCUCGUCAAGCAGGAGCACGUGGCCAUGGUCGCCGACGACGAGACCGCCCUCAAAUGGGCGCGGGACGACUACGUCAGGGAGGAGAUGGAGCGCCAACACCGCGCCCUCGAGGAGAUCGCCGCUCGGCGACGCGGCCGCGAGGAGGGCGUCAUCGUCAUCUUUGACGAUAGCGACGAGGAGGCGCCGGGGCCUUCCAACCCCGUUCGCCACGGCGACCCAGGGUAGGGGUGCAGCAAGGACGACGGUGGAGCGCAGGACGACGACGGCGGUGGCCACACCAAUUUCUACAAGCUUUUCGGCAUGUCGAAGGCGACGAUGUCGUGCGGCAACAGCGGGCGACGGGGGCGUAAUUUAAUUAUGUUUUUAUUUCACUUUUGUAUAAAUUUCAAUGAAAAACUAUGAAUUUCCUUUGAAUUUGAGUCGGUUUUGCCCGAAUUUGGGCCUGAGUUUGUUCUUUUUGAAAAGUUGGGGGUGACCUUUUGGGUGCCGACUAGGAACCCAAGCACCCCUCACGUCGAUUUUUUUUCGCCGGGCGCCCCUAGACCGCGCUAUUUCACAUCCCUAGGGGCCGAACGGCUGGAGAUGCUCUAAAAUGGAUGAUGGGCAGCCUGCUAGCAAGCUCAUUCCUUUCCUCUUUUUUUUUCUCCAACAAGUUGCCCCACCGCCGUCCUGCUGCCCCCAUCACCGCCGUUCUUUUGGCCCCACCCCUUCCCUAAGAUGGAUGAUGGGACAGCCUGCCAGCGAGCUCCUUCCUUUCCUCCGGCCUCCCUUCGGCGAACUCUCAUAAUCUGUUGACCCCCAAUCAAAGUCACGCGACUCGCAUUUAGCUAAUGUGAUAACAGUUGAAGCUGUGAGUUGUGUAUCAUGGCUUUCACCAUUUGUGUGUAGUAUCAUUUUUUCGGAGUCGAGCGUUUUGGUGCCCACACUCAACUGCAUCCGGUUAUUUUUUUUAAAUAAAUACUAAAAAAAUCAUAAAAUUCCAACCAUGGUAGACAAGUUGUUGCGUGAGAUCUGCACCAAUUUUCAGAUUAUCUGGACAUCGAGGAGCUCUCGGAAAAAAAACAAAUAAGGUCAAAAUAAAGCAUGAACAGUAUUUUUUUUAAGAUCCUGAAUUUGCUCUUUUUACCGAGAGCUGCUCCAAUGUUUAAAUGAUUCAAAAACUGAAACGGACUUCAUGCAUUAAAUUAUCUAUCAUCUAAAAAUAAUUAUUCAUUUUGAAUCUUUUUAGUAUUUGUUUUGAUUUUUUUAUUUAGCACAUGUAUAGAUGAGCCUGGGCUCAGGAAUAGAUUUUCACAUUUUUUAUGAACUAAACAUGCAAAUCUGUUUUGUGGCGAGCUUGUUCCAUGGCGCCUGGUAAAACUGCCACCAUGCUCAAUUGCUCAGCGACCUUUUCUGUAUAAUAUCCCGAUGCCUUUUAGGCUAACAAUAGGUUAGCGACCGUGGGGAAAGAAACAGAAACCGAUCAAACGAUUUGUCUAUUUCAGAUAUAGACAUUCCUAAUGAAUAACCAACACUUCAGAAAGACAUUUAUUAAAACAUCAUAUUUCACAAAAGCAACCUGAUAAAAUAUCAAUAUUUUUGCUCAGUUUUAUAGAUGCUUGCAUGCUACAUUUAUCGAAGAGAAGUGUGCAAGGGCAUCUUCACGCUUACCCGCAAACGUGACGUCACAUUCGUCCGCGGAUAGCGGGUACCAGCCCGUACACACGAAUAUGGAAGCCGACCAUCCAAUGCUACAUGUAUAGAUUUUAAAAUAGAUUAAAAAUAAUUGAACAAAUUUCAUGCAAAUUGAAUGAUAUUCAUACAAAUUGGAUUAUAUUCAUUACUUUUAAGAAAUUCUCAUUAGGACUGAGAGAGNNNNNNNNNNNNNNNNNNNNNNNNNNNNNNCGCUAAGCCUAGACUACAACGACGUUCGUCAUCCAAGUCCUUGUUGUUCCCUUCCGACGACCUUGUCCUACAUCCACCGUCUCCAUGAGCAGCGUCGACAAGACUUGUAAAAUGAAGGUCGGUAGCCUGCAAGAAAGAGUGGAACAUGGAAAACGGACCAACCCACAUAGGAUACAUGUCACUGUGACCUCCCAUGUCCUACUCUUCCUCGGCGGAGUCUGCAACCUAUCCGUCGUCGGUGGACGUGAGGUCCAUGGUGGAAACGAAGGGGCCGACACAGUUGUUGUCCCACCCGUGCGACCAAACAGUGAUUGACGGGGCGUAGGACGCGCAGAUGACAGCGUUCUCAUCUGCGCAACUAGCACUGCCUCCGUGCCCGGCUGUGCGUUGCAAGUGGCGGCUUGAGUACGGGUGGCCUUGUAGAGCGCCUUCUUCUCGAUGACAAAUUUGGGGUUUGCCAUGGCCAUGGCCGCCACGACCUCCUCGCUCGUGCGCUCGCUGUAGAUUUGGCCCUCCACCAGCCCUGCCGAAACACCAACAUAGGCGCCGACGCAUGUUGCUUCUCCGCCAUGGCGGCAAUGAAGUGCCCCUGCCCUCUUCAUGGUCAAGCCGACAACGACCAACACGAGGCCCAAUGUUGAGUCGUCGACGGAGGGCGCCUACAUCGUGGUGGCGUUGUCGUCGAAGAACUCAAGGGAGCUGGUCGGCAUGCCGACCUGGAUCCAACUGGCACAAGUGCCUGACGGUUGAGCUAGGUGGCCGCAAGGGUUUCAGCUCACAGUCAUGGCGGAUGUGGUGCGGGAGGAAGAUGUGAAGCGGAUGACUUAUGACGUGCUAUGAGCUGGGUGUGGCCACCUUUAAAUAGUGGAUGCCGGUGAAGACAAGCAUCCGGGUAAUCAAUGCGCAGGUGUUGGAGUUGGUUUGUUGACAGGCGAGCCUGUUUAAUGGCGACAGACGAACAUACGGGUAUUGGACGGUUGUGGUAGAUAUGCGUCCCGUCCCGUCCAGUAAACGUCUCUCCAACAUUGAACAUGCGCGGAGACGAGGGACGUGGCAUGGGCGGUGGCCUCGACUGGCGAGCCGCUUUAGUGCCGGCGCGUGCAAGAGGUCACAUCCUCUCUGCCCCCACAUCAAUGCGGAGUAGGCACUCUAAAGCGGCGUGAAUGCGGGCAGGUGCUUCAUGUGAGAAAGCACACGACGUGGGAGGGGUUUUGGGUGGUCCAGGUUAGUCAGACGCAGGCUAGCAGCAGUUCGAACGUCCGCAAAGCCCGACCCCACCCUUUUGUCUCCGAUUUAAAGGAAAAAGUGCAUCCGGAUCGGUCGACGGACCAAUGCUGACCCGCGUUGGAUGAUAAAACAUGUCUGGACCACAUGAUCCAAGUUGAUGUGGAUCUGUCUCNGGUUUGAUGGUCUGGGAUGAAAAUGCCCUAAGACACUUUCUUGGAAGGAAAACAUGUGGGAGAUUUUUUGUAGGUAGCUUUCCUUUAGGGGAAAUAUAACAGAAAUUAUAGGCACUAGCUUGUUGUUGAGAAUUUUAGUGGAAACCAUACAAAUCUUCAAGCUAGGUUGUCUAUAUAACUAGAACUCUAAUGAAGCAACACCGUAGCUAAGGGCAUCUCCAACAACACAUUUUCUCCCACAUCCGUUCGUGGAUGGGGGGGACCAGUCCGAGGACAUGGAUGCGGGAGGACGACAUCAAUCAUAGCCGCAUACAUUUAGACAACAACUCGAACCAAUCGAACGGAAUUCUUGCAAACACGGCCAUAUUUCGUGCAAGCAUGACAUAUUUCAUACAAACACGGUAGAUUUCAUUACAUUUCGAACAAAAAAGACCCGCCCCUAAACCUAGCGGUGCCCGACAUCCAAGCCCAUGUCGUCCCUCAUCCACCUUCUCCAUGAGCACCGACGAUAAGACUGAUGAAGUGAAAGUGCGUUCUCCCGCGAGGAAGAGUAGGACACGGGAGACAGACUCGCCAACAUGGGACAUGAUGUCUACUACACAACAUUAUUCUUGUAGAUGUUGUUGGGCAUCCAAGUGCAGAGUUUUGUAGGACAACAACCAAUUUCCCUCAAGUGGAUGACCUAAGGUUUAUCAAUCUGUGGGAGGUGUAGUGAAAGUGCAUUAUAUCAACUAGAGGAGAGGGGGGUUGAAUAAGUGUUUUUUAUAAAUUCGUCACUGAGGAAUUUGCUAGUGAGGAAAUUACUCAGUCACGAACAGCUUGCAGCGGAACAAGUACCCAGGCAUAAGCGCAACACAUCAGAAACAUAGUCAUCAUGAUGAAAUGAAAGAGACACUUAGCGCGAGUAGCGUGAUCAGGAUGCGUAGGUGAAGUGAAGAAUUUGAGAUGAGGAAAUUGUGAAAGUCUUCGGACAAAUUCUUCAAAUAGUAACGAUCAAUUUCAUCAACGCAUAAAUGAGGAAAUAGAAGGGUUGAGGAAAAAGAACCAGGUACUCAGUGAAGACAAUGAUUUUAAGACCUAAUUCCAACUGUUGUGAUAGUCGUACGUCUGGUUUGGAGUGGCUUGGUAUUUAAACCAAAGGACACACAUUCCCAGGAUACUAAGUCCUUAUUGUAUUAUCCUUGAGCUAAGGACACACAAUCCUCGCCCAACACUCGUGGUAAGUCUUCAGGGCAGACUUCCAAAUCCUCACAAAAUCGGUCAACUGAAAAUCCACAAUUUACUGUUGGAUGCUCUAGACCAGUAUCGCCUAACCAUCUGGAAGAUGCAAAGUCGUCAAAGGUAACAAGCGUCGGUUCCACACAGGAACAAUCUCUUCAGUGUUGCUCAAUCACAUUGGGUUUUUGGUUUUUGGUUUGGGUGUUUGGGUUUUUUCCUCACUAAUGAUUUUCUCUCAAAGUCUUCGUGGAAUGGGUUGCUCUCAAAUGACAAGUGUCGGUUUCUCUCGCGGAGGAGCCAACCAGCUAGUGGUUAUGGGGGUGACUAUUUAUAGCGUGGGAGCAAUCCCAACAUGAUUUGACAUAAAUGCCCCAAUGUAUGACCGUUAUGUGGAUAAGGUUUGGGGAGAACUGGCGUGCGGCACAACAGCGGUCGAAACUUUCAAGCUGUGAAAGUCCUCAUGUCUCUCAUAUUCCUCACAUGUUGGUAAUUCACAGUGGAAAAAACCUAACUCCUUAGUUAGAGGAAUUUUCUCAGAGACCAGAAGAUCUCUAUCUCUCUCACUGAAGAAAUUGACUAAGGCCCUGUUUGGAACCAUCCAGAUUAUAUAAUCCAGUUUUUAUAAUCUAUUCUAUCUCCAAACAGGACAGCUUAUGGUGUAGAUUAUAAAAACUAGAUGGAUAGAUUAUUAAAAACUCAUAAUCUACUCUAUACCAGCUAAAAUCAGAUUAUGGAUUGCUAAUGACCCAUUACCCUUAUAAAGUUGGAGACAAUUACAUUCCUACCACCGCCACCCUCCUCUUUUUAAAAAAACAGAGGGCAAAAAGGGCAUUAUGCAAUGUAAAAUCUGGAUUACAGUUUAUAUAAUCUGACUUCCAAACAUGUCCAUCUAGAUUAUUUUUAUAAACCAGAUUAUAUAAUCUAUCUUCAUAAUCCAGAUUAUUAUAAUCUAUUAUGGUUCCAAACAUGGCCUAAACUGUAAAAGAUUUCCAAAGGCUUCACUCAAAGGAUUGAGUAUGUGUAGGCUUUGAGAUGAUCAUCACUUGGAAACUUUUCCUUAGUUUUACCUCUACCCCCUUUAAUACUAGGUGUUCCUAUGACUCAAAAGAAAGGAAACAAAACUAUGAAAACAAAAGUCGUCACACUUCAACGUCCUCACAUCAAUAUCUUCAAGGACACACCGAUUUCCUCGCUUUCAAAGUCCUCGAGGAAUUAUUAAAUUCUUCAGUUGAAGACAUUCAUAUUUAGGGGUAGAUAUUCUUUGAAUAACUCAAACUCCUCGGCAACUUAUAUACCCCGUGUACACUCACAAACACAUAAGUCUAUUAACCUAUAAGUCUUUAAUACACCAAAAUCACUAAGGGGCACUAGAUGCACUUACAAUCUCCUUUUUUGGUGAUUGAUGACAAAUAGGUUAAGUUUUAACGGGGAUAAAUAUAUGAAGUAUAAGUACAACGUUUGAGGAAUUUGAUUGCAAGAUAUAAAGAAACUCCCCCUGAAGAUGUGCAUAUUUGAAGAAUUUAUUUUGGACUAGAAAUGCACAUUAUAGGUUUAUAUCAUGGAGAUAUCCCCCUAUAUCUUGUAAUCCAUGCACGCACUUAACGUAUAUCAUGAGGAAAUUUAAAUGCAUGACGGAAAGUGGUGUCUCACGAAGUUCAUCAUGCAUGCAUUAAUCAACAUGAGAAUAAGCAUGCGAAGAAAAUGGUUCAAAAGUGUUAGACCACCACCGGAUUUAAGUUUACAACUCAUACAACCAAACACUUGAGAAGAACGAGAGUUGCAACUUAACAAAAAUAUAGCCCAUAAGGUAGACCCACUUGAAGACUAACUCAGAUUUCUCCCCCUUUGUCACCAAGUGACAAAAAGGGUCGAAACUGAGGACUAACACACAUGAAGAAUUUGAACUUGUUGGUGAAGGAGGAGCACCAGCGUUGUCGGGGUCGUUUGUCGUUGUAGGGCCGACACCAGUGUUGUCAAGAUCCUCAACUUCAUUAGUUGAGCGUGAUGAAGAAAAUGAACUAGUCACCAACACAUAAACAUGAACCUUGUUGAAUUUAUUCUUGGACAACCACGACCAAUCAAAGUCUUGCUGAAAUUCCAUCUCCUUGAGUUCUUCAGGAGUCUUGAGGUGUGACAGAAUGGCCCAUGUGCGAUCGAAUAUUUCGUGAAGAUAGUAGUGAUUCUUCCUCACGACAUUACGCGUCACAAUAAUAUCACUCACAAUGGCACUAAACCGACACUUUACCCACUGGUGAUUGUGAUCGACCAUUUGAUGAAGACUUAGCAGAAGCUCAUAGCCAGUCAUCAUGCGCGGGACAGACUCACGAGGAAUUUUAGCUGAGGCCUUUGCAACAUAGUCUUGUGAUGAUGUGUCAUCAUUGGUUGAGUAGGAUGCUGCCUUGCGAAAUUGUCCAUCAAGAGGACGAGAUCCUUCAUCAAUAACCAUUUUUCCCUUGCCUUCAAUCAGCUCAAAGGAUUUCUUGAUGACUUCAAGUGGGGGUAGAUAGCCGAAGUGAUUCUAAAAAUCAGCUUUGUAAGGAAUUGAGCAUGUGGCCGUGAUGAAUUUCAUGAUCCACGACUCAUAAGGCUUUAGUUCAAAAGGUGACAUAGCAAUAUUGGCCAAAGUCCUCAUGAAAAAAUUAUGAAGAUUUAUGAGAAUCCCAUGAAUGAUGUUGAAUAACAAAUUCUUCGUGAUUCCCACCACGUCUUCUUCUUUAGAGUUGUGACCCUUGAUGGGGCUGAGGGUUUUGGUCAAGAUGCGGUACAUAGUUCUUGACACAUACAACGGUCUUUGACGAGGAAAGUGGUCCUUGGUGGCUUGCUAGGAUCCAAAGGCUUCAUCAACACUUGCAUCACGUCAUUGGGCAGCUCGGGUUCAUCGUAGAUGUGUCUAGCUCCUUGUGAGGGGAUUGCAUCUGGGACCACACAAAGCAAUUCCGUUGCAGGAGCAGUGUAGUGUGUGUCUUCGGUCAUCCAGUCAAGAACCCACAUGUUUAUGUCUUGUGCUUCACCAGAAAGAUGCAAAGUGGCACAAAAUUGAAGAACUAACUCUUCAUUCUAGUCGCAUAUAUCCAUGUAGAACGAUAAUAGGCCAACAUCAUGAAGAACAUUGAGGAUUGGCGUGAAGCAGGGAAUGAAUCCCAUGUCUGCAUGAGGAUUUGUUGAUGGUAAAAAAGCUUAUUAUCCCCAAAGAGCACAUCGCCAUAGAAGUUCAUUUGAGUGACAGUCCAAAACCUCUUACGCCCUCGCAGAGUCAUAUGGAUUUGCACCAAUGAAGAAAUGAUGUUCAUCAAAAAAAUUCUCCUUGAGAAAUUUGGGUCUAUUUGUACCUUUGAAGGGUUGAAGAGUCUUAGGUUGAAGAUUUGGCUUGUAUUUGCCCACAAGUCUUCGGAGCUCUUCCUCAGUCUGAGCAACUUGAGCCACCACUAGUGCUGACUGAGGAUUUCGAAAAUGAGGCUCAUCAGCAGUAUCCUCACCUUGAGGAGCAGUUUCUUCAGCCAUAAUUUCUUCAGUGUGAGGAACAUGCUUUGCAGAUUCAUCAAUGAUCGGUGCAGCAAUAUCGUCAGCGGCGGUUUGAUUCACAGUUUCUUCAGCUGAUGCAGCGACUUCUUCCUCCGGGAUAGAUUUCAUCGGAGUGUGUUUGUCCUCAGACCCAGUAUGAAUUUAUUCAGUGAUAGUAGGGGGCUGAGGAUUUUGAGGAAGUGGAGUGGCCAGCGGUGAGUUGGGAUGAGCUUCUUCCUAAUAAUCAUCGUUGAUAACUGGUGUUUGGCACCCAAUGUCCACGUCUUCAUCCAUUUCUUCAAUGCCCGCCUCUCUUCUUUGCUGAGGCAGAGGUGAUGUUGCUUGAGGAAUUGAAGUAUUUGGUUCCACUUCAAUUUCUUCAUCAAUCUACUCUGUGGAAGCAGCAGACCGAUUGUCUUCAAUUUCGUCAUCCCCUUUUGGGAUGACAUGUUCGACGCCAAAUGGCACCAUCUCGUAAGAGGGUACCGUGCUGAUUGUAGUAGCGUCAAUAUGUGCACUUGAUGAGCUUGAUAAAGUCCUCAAGCGUUUGGUUUGUGAGGAAUCUUGUCUUGUUGGCGUCUUCCUCGUCUUAGCGGCUUCCUUUUCAACACCCUAUGUUUUCUUCACUUCUGAUGCCUAAGGAAGUGUCAAUUUAUUCAUUCUUGAAGAUUUUGUUGUUGGAGAAAAUUCUUCAAGCAUGGCUGAUGCAGUCGUCCUGGUAGGAGCAUUUUCAUGAGGCGCAGCAGUUUCUCGAGCUCGUCUGACAGGUUCUUCAGGUGCAAAAUCUUCACGCGCUUGAAUUUCUUCAGCCCUCACAGUUCAUUCAGGCGGGUGUGUGUGGAGGAGCUAGCCUAAGGAAUUUGUUGUUGCGUUGGAGCUGUAACCCUGGUGUUGUGAUCCGUGAUGGCUUUGGUCACCACAUUCACGAAUUUAACCUUUGCACGUCUCCAGUCCGCAUGAUAGAGACUGUAUUCUUCACUUGGGUUUUUGAUCUCAGUCUGGGUGGAAACAAGCUGGCCAGGGGUCAAGGAGAGGAUAUUGUUCUUAAGAAACCUCUCCUUUCGAGUUUGUUCCUUUCUGGCCCUCUUGGCCUUCUCAACUCUCCAUUUUUCUUCAGCAAUUAAUGCAGCUAACACAUGGCUUGGGUGAGGUGGAAGAUGCAAAUGCCAAUCGGAGUCUAUGGAUUUUGAUACCAUAGGUCGAUGAAGUCUAACACCACCUUGGGAUCCAGGAUGAGAGGAAUAUUUGUGCCUUUAGCUUGAGCAACCCUCUCUUGUUUGUUUCUGAUGAUCUGAGCUAAUUCUUCUUCAUCAUCCUCUUCUUCCUAAGAUCCAGAGGGAAUGUUGAAGACCACCUUGUUAGGGCUUGGUCUUUUUCCUCGCCCAAUGGUCAUCUUUUUCUUCAUGGUUGCACUUGAAGAAGUGUGUGUAGAGCUAGAAAUAGAGGUCCUGAGGGAAUUGCAGUUCCCAUUGUAUGCUGACUUGUUUCCAGUUGCACUUGCAUUGAGUACUUUAUGGGGGUUGCUGAGGACAUUGCAACCAUAGUUGGAGGUGGUUGAGGAAUUUUCUGUGAGGAAUGUGAAGUUGAAGACUUUUGUAUUCAUAGAUGAUUUCUUCAUGAAAGCGCGCUUCGAAGAUGUUUCUGUGCGAGAAGCUUUAGCAGCAGAGGAGGUGGCAGCAGCAGCUGCAGCAAUAGUCUCCAAAUUAAAUCUCCUCACGACAUCUUUUGCAGUCUUCUACAUUUUGCGUGAUGCUUAGCCCAUUCGACAGAAAAUUUCUCAUCAGUGACAAGGCUAGUGGGAUCAGCGACUUUUCCAUCAGCAAGAGGAGGUCCUGGGCUUGGAGGUUUUAAUGCGAAUUUCUUCAUGUACUUGGGAGUCAAAUAUGUGUACUCCCUCCACUCUGUGACCCAUCUCCUUUCGAUUUUCUGUAUGCGCGUCUUGCGCUUUUCCUUUGUUUCCUUCCCAUAUAUCUCUUCAUCUCGCGUGCAAUAUGUAUCAUAAAUUUAUUUGGGGAUUUCAAAAGCUGUGUUGGUCUCAUGCUUCUUUCCCCCUUUCCACUGUUUCUUCCCUUCAUUCAUUUUCUUCACUUGAGGAAUUUGAACUUUUGAGGACACUAAGGAGUGUGCAAAUUUUCUUCAAGAAAUACUGCAAAUGAGUUAAAUUGAUGAGAACCUAGAGAUUCGUCAGCAGACAUUUUGAACCUAUGAACAGAGUAUAGGUGCGAAGAAUUUUAAGAAUUUGCAAAAAUCUCAACUUUGAAGAAUUUCAACAUUAGUUGGUAGCGUAACCCGCCGUAUAAGAAUGACGAUUUGAGACACUGCGUACAAUUGUCGUAGGGUCAUGAGAAUCAAGUUCUUCAUUAAUUUAUUCACAUUUAGCGGGUUAUUCUUCAUUUACUAAAGAAAAAACGUUACUUUAUGUGUUGCACAUCUAAGUCAUCAAUUUUGUAUAAGUGUUAGGAUGUGUGUCCUUUGAGAGAACAUUCGAAGAUUCUAAGAUAUUUAGCUCACACCGCAACUUGCAAAAUCUCGUUUCAUCCAGGGGCUUAGUUAAGAUAUCUACGAGUUGUUCUUCAGUCUUCACAUGGUCGAGGAAGAUGUUGCCCUUGAGUACAUGAUCAUGAAUAAAAUGAUGACGAAUCUGGAUGUGCUUGGUCUUCGAGUGUUGCACUGGAUUGUUAGUAGUCUUGAUUGCACUCUCAUUGUCACAGUAGAGUGGCACAUUCUUCAAAUUGAUGCCGUAGUCCUUGAGGGUUUGCUUCAUCCACAACAAUCGAGCACAACACGAACCAACAACAAUAUACUCACCUUCAGCAAUGGAAAGUGACAUGGAGUUCUGAUUCUUCAAGGACCAACAUACUAAGGAUCGUCCAAGGAAAUGGCAGGUGCGUGAUGUUGACUUGUGAACCACACAGUAACCGACAUAGUGUGAGUCAUAAUAUCAAAAGAGAUGAAGAUUUGAGCCCUUGGGGCACCAUAAUCCAAGCAUUGGUGUGUGAGCUAAAUAUCGAAGAAUAUGCUUCACAUCCUUCUGUUGUGAUUCCUUUGGUGUUGCUUGGAGCGAGCACACAUGCAAACACUAAGCAUAAUAUCUAGCCUAGAUGCACAUAGGUACAAUAAGGAUCCAAUCAUGGAGUGAUAUACCUUCUGAUCGAAAUCUUUACCAUUUUGGUCAGUGUAGAGGUGGCUGUUGGUAGGCAUUGGAAUUUUGACUCCUUUGCAGUCUUGCAUGCCAAAUUUCUUCAGGUCAUCCUUGAGGUAUUUGUCUUGAGAGAUAAAGAUGCGAUUGCGUUGUUGAUGAAUUUGAAGUCCUAGGAAUAAUUUCAACUCUCCCAUCAUGGACAUUUGAUAUUCUUCACCCAUCAUGUAGGCAAAUUCGUCACUAUAAUGUUUGCCAAUACAACCAAAGAUAAUAUCGUCUACAUAUAAUUGGCACACAAAUUGUUCAUCAUCAUAGGAUUUUGUGAAAAAGUUGGAUCAAGUGAACCGGGCUUGAAGCCUUUCUUCAUGAGGAAUUCGUUCAAUGUGUCAUACCACGCCCAAGGGGCUUGCUUGAGGCGUAGAAAGCCUUGUUGAGUCUAAAGACUUUGUUAGGAUGCUUUNNNNNNNNNNNNNNNNNNNNNNNNNNNNNNNNNNNNNNNNNNNNNNNNNNNNNNNNNNNNNNNNNNNNNNNNNNNNNNNNNNNNNNNNNNNNNNNNNNNNACCCAAUGAAUUUAUCUUUUUCUUUCUGUUUUGUUGUUUCCACACUUUCAUAAUUCUNCACACCAUCAUAAUUCAAUUAUGAUUGUGUUUCUUCUGUUUUAGUUUGUGUUUGUACCAAGUAGCACCUUUAUGAUUAGUUUUGGUGAUAGUUGUUUGAUCAUGCUGAAAAAGACAGAAACUUUGUGCUCAUGAUUUUUUUUAAUUCCUAUCCAGAAAGAGAUUUUGAGUUGAUUCUUUUUGCUGCUGAUUUAUAUGAUAAUUUCCCUAAUUUUCAUACGUUUUCAGAAUUUUUGGGAUACGAGAGGUAUACGAAGUAUUCUAUAGACUGGUUUGUUUUUGACAGAUUCUGUUUUUGUUGUGUUGAUUGCUUAUUUUGAUGAAACUAUGGUUAGUAUCGGGGGGUACUAGCCAUGGAAAAGUGAGAAUACAGUAAUAUAACAUCAAUCUAAAUAGAAAUCAAGUUUACUACAGUACCUAAAGAGUUGGUGGUUUGUUUUCUUAUGCUAAUGAUAUCACGAGUUUCUGUUUAAGUUUUGUGUUGUGAAGUUUUCAAGUUUUGGGUGAUGUUCUUAUGUACAAGGGAAUAAAUAGUGGAAGGAGCUUAAGCUUGGGGAUUCCCAAGACAUCCCAAGCCAAAUUCAAGGACACCAAAAAUCCUAAGCUUGGGGAUGCCCCGUGAAGGCAUCCCCUCUUUCGUCUUCAAUCCAUCGGUAACGUUACUUGGAGAUCUCUUUUUAUUCACCACAUGAUAUGUGUUUUCCUUGGAGCGUCGUGUAUUAUAGGAGUCUUUGCUUUUUGUUUUGUCACAAUCAUCCUUGCUGCAAACCUUUUUGAGAAGGACAUGCACUCAUCGUGAAUUUGUUAGAAUGCUCAAUGUGCUUCACUUAUAUCUUUUGAGCUAGAUAAUUUUGCUCUAGUGCUUCACUUAAAUUUUUGUAGAGCACGGCAGUGUCAUAUUUUUAAGAAAUAAUAACUCUCGAUCUUCACUUAUAUAUUUUUGAGAGUGCUCUCUCUAAGUAACUUGGUAAUUGGCGUGUGCUAUGAAAUUAGUCCCAAAUAUGAUAGGUAUCCAAAGAGGAUAUAAUAAAAACUUUCAUAUUCAAGUGCAUUGAUUAGUAAGAGAAGUUUGAUUCCUCACAAUUAGUUUUGAGAUAUGGAUAUGGUAAUAUUAGAGUCAUGUUAGUAGGGUGUUGUGAAUCUAGAAAUACUUGUGUUGAGGUUAGUGAUUCCCGUAGCAUGCACAUAUGGUGAACCGCUAUGUUAGGAAGUCGGAGCAUAAUUGAUUUAUUGAUUGUUAUCCUUUGUGUGGCGGUCGGGAUCGCUCGAUGGUUAAUGCUGCGGCAACAAAAGAACUUCCUUGGUGCUAGGAAGUCUUCUUGUUACUUCUCUGGUUUGCGUCGGUUUUUCCCUUGAAGAGGAAGGGUGAUGCAGCACAGGAGCAGUAAGUAUUUCCGUCAGUUUGAGAACCAAGGUAUCGAUCCAGAAGGAGGGCCUCAUCAAGUCCAGAGUACCUGCGCAAACACAAACAAGCUUGCACCCAAUGCUUCAAAGGGGUUGUCAAUCCCUUCAAGAUUGUUUGCAAAGUGAGAUCUGAAGGCGGAAAGUGCAACGAAGUAAAAAGUGUAAGGUUGAAAAUAUGGUGUGGAGUAGACCCUGGGGGCCAUUGUGUUCACUAGAGGCUUCUCUCAUAAUAGGAAAUAUCACGGUGGGUGAACAAAUUACUGUCGAGCAAUUGAUAGAACCGCGCAAAGUCAUGACGAUAUCUAAGGCAAUGAUCAUACAUAUAGGCAUCACGUCCGAGACAAGUAGACCGAUACUUUCUGCAUCUACUACUAUUACUCCACACAUCGACCGCUAUCCAGCAUGUAUCUAGUGUAUUGAGUUCAUGACGAACAGAGUAACGCCUUAAGCAAGAUGACAUGAUGUAGAGGGAUAAUCUCAAACCAAUGAUGAAAAACCCAUCUUUUUACCCUUGAUGGCAACAACAUGAUGCGUGCCUCGCUACCCCUUGUGUCACUGGGUGAGGUCUCCGCACAGUAUGAACCCAAAACCAAGCACUUCGCCCAUUGCAAGAAUCAUAGAUCUAGUUGGCCAGACAAAAUCCACAACUCGAAGAGAAUUNNNNNNNNNNNNNNNNNNNNNNNNNNNNNNNNNNNNNNNNNNNNNNNNNNNNNNNNNNNNNNNNNNNNNNNNNNNNNNNNNNNNNNNNNNNNNNNNNNNNUCAGAGUAGAAACGAUGGAAAAGUUCCAUGUUUGCUAUGCUAGGGACGCGUGACAGACGAAUGGACCAUGUAUCCGGGUUCGUCUCGUUCUGCUGAUCAACUUUCAUGUUGAAAAUAUUUUGAUUUGACUUACAGAUUAUUUUAUAUUAAUUUUUAAAGUUUUAUUCAAUAAUUAGGAAUUAAAAACAGAUUUAAAUAAUAUAAUAAAAUGCUCUUAUGACAUCAGCAUGAUCUCAUGCUAACAUCAACAGUUGACUGGUCAACGGACCAGUGGGUCCCGAACGUCAUAGGCACAAGUUUUAAUUAAGAUUAAAUAUUAAUUAAUCAGAUUAAUUUAGUGGGGGACCCACGUGUCAUUCUUUAUUAGGUUAAUUGAUUAUUCUAAUUAGCAGAUUAUCUUAUAUAUCUAUUUAGCUAAUUCAUUAACUAGUUAAUUAAUUAUUAUANNNNNNNNNNNNNNNNNNNNNNGGUUUGGCCCCACAUGGUAAUGGCCUAAUGGCCACACACACACAACUCUUGUACACACAUUUUAUACACACACAUAUACCAUAUACAUACAUAAUACAUUUUCUUACGUACAUGCAUUCAUACAUAAUAAUACAUACAUAUGUACAUGCUUUAUACAUAUAUCAUUUUUUUGUUGCCUCUCUAACUCUUUCUCUAACCUCUCUGCUAACACACAACCUCUCACCGAGCCUUCUCAUCUCAACAGAAAGAGGGAGGAGACAAUCUCCACCUCCACCUAUAUGAACCUAACGGCGCUGGAACGCGGCGGUGUUCGCCGGAACGGAUCCGGAGCAGAAAAAGGGAGGGAAGGGUGUUCUUACCGAGCCCUGUAGAUGUGCAAAAACGGGCUCGAGGGAGGCUUGAUGGAGAUCGGCAUCGGCGUAGGGGANNNNNNNNNNNNNNNNNNNNNNNNNNNNNNNNNNNNNNNNNNNNNNNNNNNNNNNNNNNNNNNNNNNNNNNNNNNNNNNNNNNNNNNNNNNNNNNNNNNNCUAUAGGGAGAGGAUCUUCAAAACCCAGGGGCUGAGCAAGAUAUACUUAUUCCUCAAGCUUACCAUUGAGGAAUGCACUUUUCACAUCCAUUUGAUAUAAGGUAAUAUUGUGAUGAUUAACAUAAGCAAGCAAUAUAUGAAUAGCUUCAAGUCUAGCAACACGUGCAAAAGUUUCAUCAAAGUCAAUUCCUUCAACCUGUGUGUAGCCUUGUGCUACAAGUUGUGCCUUGUUCCUCACUACCUGACCAUCUUCGUCUUGCUUGUUUUGGUAGAUCCACUUGGUACCAAUGAUAUUGUGCUGCUUGCAAGGAUCAAGCCGCUUGAAAAGUUCCCAGACAUUGUUAAGCUUGAAUUGAUGAAGUUCUUCUUGCGUUGCUUGAACCACUCAGGCUCCAUGAAGGCUUCAUCAACUUUUGAGGGUUUUGUGAUAUACAAAAAGGAAGAGUGACCACAACAGUUAAUUAAUGCGAAGCUUUUGAAAGAGUGAGGGGACCUAGUGCAUUGAUGCCACCGAGGAUUUUGUCAAUUUGCACUUCAUUUGCAACCCUUGGAUGCGCAUGUUGAAGACUUUGCUCGGGUUGAGGAAUUUGAUCAGGAGCAAUUUCCUCAGGUGCACCAGCCCGAAUUUAUUUGUUGUUUGGGAUGACUUCUUCAACACACAGAGGUUCUUCAGCGGGGAUGAUAUCUUCAGUAGCCUUGAACCUAAUGGAUUCCUCAGGAGACAUUUCAUCUAGCACAGGAGGCAAGGGCUCUCUUUGUGAGCCAUUAGUUUCAUCGAACCACACAAGUACAAUUUUAACUACUUUGUUGUGGUAGUUGUUGAAGACAUUGUAGGUAUACGAGUCCUUUUCAUAACCAAGCAUAAAUACCUCAUGUGCUUCCGGUACAAAUUUAAAACUCUGGUGAGGAUCUCUAAUCCAACAUCUUGCACCGAAGACUUCGAAAUAACUUACAUUGGUUUCUUGUCUGUGAGGAGUUCAUAUGAGGUCUUCUUGAGGAAUUAGUGAAGAUAUACCCUGUUGAUGAUUUGGCGGGCAGUGUUGACUGCCUCAGGCUAGAAGCGACGAGGAGUCUGAUAUUCUUCAAGCAUAGUGUGAGCCAUCUUAAAAAGAGUCAUUAUCUUGGGCUCCACAACGCCAUUCUGUUGAGGAGUAUAAGGGGCAUACAACUCAUGAGUAAUACCAAGUUCAUCAAGAUAGUCAUCAAGACUAGUGUUCUUGAACUCUAUCCCAUUGUCACUCCUGAUGUUCUUGAUCUUGACACCGAAGUUCAUCAAGGCCCUUGAGGAAAAUCGUUUGAAGACUUCCUGCACUUCAGUUUUGCAAUAAAUAAUAUGCACCCAAGUGUAAUGUGAAUAGUAAUUAACAAUGAUAAAGCCAUAUAGAGAUGCUGGAUUGUUUAGAGUAGCAUAAUGAGUAGGUACAAAGAGGUACAUGUGAAGCAAUUCAAAAGGACGAGUGGUGGUCAUGAUAGUCUUCGAGGGGUGCUUGGAUCUGGUCAUCUUUCCAACUCACAAGCCCCACACGGAUGAUCCUUUAGGAAUUUGACACCCUUGAUGCCUAUGACAUGCUUCUUAUUUGCAAGAGUGUGCAGAUUCCUCAUGCGUGCAUGACCAAGUCGUCGAUGCCAUAGCUAUCCCUCUAAGGCUUUUGCAAGCAGACACAUGGCCGGUUGUGGACCUGUAGAGAAAUCAACAAUGUACAAGUCUCCUCUUCUAAAGCCUUCGAAGACUUUGGAUUUGUCAGAUUCCAUGAUGACUAUGCAACGAUAUUUUCCAAAGAUGACAAUGAUAUCAAGAUAAAAAAGCAUCGAGAUAGACAUGAGGUUAAACCCAAGGGAUUUGACAAGCAUGACUUUGUCCAGGUGUCGGUCCUUGGAUAUAGCCACCUUACUAAGACUAAAUACCUUGCUCUUUCCUUUGUCUGCGUAGGUGAUAUGCUUUAGUGGUGAUGGAGUGUGACAACCCUAAUGCAAUUCCCCCCCUUGUAAUUCUUCCUUGUAUGGCAACCUUGAUAUGGUAAUUAUAUGUGGUGUGAGCCCAUCAUUGUGUCAUCAUUUCAUGUGCAUCAUGCCUUCAUGCACUGCAUUUUCCUCUUGUUUUUGUUUGUGUUGGUAUGGGUCAACUCCUUGAUGUGAUGUGCAAGUGUUAGAGGAUGUGCUUGGUGUUUGUUGAGGUGUGCGUGCGUUAAGUGCAUUUAAAACCCACAAGUUGCACCAUAGGAUAAAACCCCUUCUCUCCUCUCUAUUUUAUUUUGUGGCAGAUUUAGAAGUUUCAGUUUUGCCCCAAUAAAAAUGUUCAUGUUUCCCUAAAAAUCUUCUUAUUAAAUGUGGAGGCAACCCCUCUGGUUUUAUUUUAUUUUCUCUUUUGAUUCUAUUCAAAAUAGAGCCUCAUUUUAAAAUAAAAGGUAUUUUCUUUUUAUUCUUCUUAAUGGCCAAUUUAUUUUUAUCAAUUGGAGCAUGAGAUUACAAGCCCAAAUAUACUUUUUACUUUUGUUUUCUCCUUUUCUUUUAGCCUCUGGGUCUAUUUCAAAACAUGAGUAUUUCUUAUUUGCAANNNNNNNNNNNNNNNNNNNNNNNNNNNNNNNNNNNNNNNNNNNNNNNNNNNNNNNNNNNNNNNNNNNNNNNNNNNNNNNNNNNNNNNNNNNNNNNNNNNNNNNNNNNNNNNNNNNNNNNNNNNNNNNNNNNNNNNNNNNNNNNNNNNNNNNNNNNNNNNNNNNNNNNNNNNNNNNNNNNNNNNNNNNNNNNNNNNNNNNNNNNNNNNNNNNNNNNNNNNNNNNNNNNNNNNNNNNNNNNNNNNNNNNNNNNNNNNNNNNNNNNNNNNNNNNNNNNNNNNNNNNNNNNNNNNNNNNNNNNNNNNNNNNNNNNNNNNNNNNNNNNNNNNNNNNNNNNNNNNNNNNNNNNNNNNNNNNNNNNNNNNNNNNNNNNNNNNNNNNNNNNNNNNNNNNNNNNNNNNNNNNNNNNNNNNNNNNNNNNNNNNNNNNNNNNNNNNNNNNNNNNNNNNNNNNNNNNNNNNNNNNNNNNNNNNNNNNNNNNNNNNNNNNNNNNNNNNNNNNNNNNNNNNNNNNNNNNNNNNNNNNNNNNNNNNNNNNNNNNNNNNNNNNNNNNNNNNNNNNNNNNNNNNNNNNNNNNNNNNNNNNNNNNNNNNNNNNNNNNNNNNNNNNNNNNNNNNNNNNNNNNNNNNNNNNNNNNNNNNNNNNNNNNNNNNNNNNNNNNNNNNNNNNNNNNNNNNNNNNNNNNNNNNNNNNNNNNNNNNNNNNNNNNNNNNNNNNNNNNNNNNNNNNNNNNNNNNNNNNNNNNNNNNNNNNNNNNNNNNNNNNNNNNNNNNNNNNNNNNNNNNNNNNNNNNNNNNNNNNNNNNNNNNNNNNNNNNNNNNNNNNNNNNNNNNNNNNNNNNNNNNNNNNNNNNNNNNNNNNNNNNNNNAGAGAGAGAGAGAGAGAUAAGAGGCCCAUCAGCGUUAGUUCGGCCCAGGCCCAGCCAGCGACCCCCUUUUUACUCCUGGAUGUCGCCAUGCCUAUACGAACAGAGCUCCACCACCAGAUCAACCCCGAUCCUCCAUCAGACGGACACUAGGGCUCCUCCUCUGGUCUAGGGUUCCUCCUCCCUGUCCUCCUCGCGCCGUCGGGUGAACCACAUGAUACCGCCGUCGCCAUGAGAAGCUCCUGGUGAGCUUGUCAACAGCAGCAGAUCGAAGGUUGUCUUGUUCCCCGUAUGGAUCAGGAGCUCGCGGAGGACCGUGGGGUUCCAUACCCGCGGUAACCGGACGUCAAGGUCGACGCCACGACGCCCGAUGAUGAGUGUCUCUUCUUCCUCUCUGACGAACCUUCUUCUACAACACCUCGACGUCGAGCCCUUCCUUUCUCGCGUGGGUUUCUUCGCUGAACCAUAGGUGAGCAGCCGUAUCGCUCUGCUUCCCUUCUCGUUCCUGCAGACUGCCGUCGCCGUCGUUCCUUCUUCGCUGCUGUCAAGUAGAAGCAGCCAUGCAGAGCAAGCAGCAGUAGCAGCUACAGCAAGGCUUUGCGUUAGUUUAGUGGCAGCCAUAACAGUUGUUUUCAAGCGCGUAGCGUCCCCCGCGUAGUGCAGGUGCGUGAAUGCGAGCGUGCACUGGCAAGCCGCAUUGUCGCUGGCGCCUCUGUGUAAAACAUAGAGGGCGCCUCCUUUUGCAUCUUGUCUUGGGUGAGAUCCCCCUUGGAUCAAAUCUACUCACCUACCCUACUGGUUAACCGUAGCGCGUGCGACCCUGAGGUCACGGGUUCGGGACACAGCUCUUCCCCCUUUUUGUUUCGCUAUAUUUCGGUGAUGUUAGUGCGAGCAGGGAAGGAUCAAUCUUCCUACUUUUAUGUUUGGGGCAGUUAGCAAUCGCUAGCGCAGUGGCAACAGCACCGCGGCGACUUAGCACCUCGUGGGUUCGAACCCUGGCACUGCCCCCUUUUUAUUUGUGCAUUUUGUGGGGUUGCAGUACAAUUAGCACUUAGGGCAUUUUCCCCCUAUAAUGCAAUUAAUCUGGCUCAGCUUAGUGGUAGAGGUGUGUUUGUGUGUGUGGGAGAGGUGGUGGGUUCGACCCCCACCAAGUCCCCUUUUAUUUCCAGUUUUGCUGUGAGUGUAGGGCCACUGACAAGUGGGCCGAGGACCCACAUGUCAUGCACUAAGGACCCUGGUAUCUAUGACCAGUUGGCCCUGUUUGUUAGGUUAGUUGAUAUUUUUUAUUUUCCUUUAUUUUGUUUUUGUUGAUGUGAUCAAUUCCAUCUUUGGAAUAAUUCCUAAAUGGAAUUUUCCUAUUCUGGCAGAUGCCAAAUUUGGCAAGUUCAAGAACAUCUCCUAUUCUUGACUAUAGUGUAGUUUGAUUCUGUGCAAUCUUUCUUUUGCGGAGUGUGGCGUUUUUCUGCAUGCAAACAUGGCAGUAUGAUAUAUGAAUUUGGGGUAGAAAAUCCCAAGGAAUCCAAUGGUGGUACUCGAAUUCAGUUUUGAGCAUUCCUGUAGAAAAGUCACCUUGUGAUGAGGUGGCACUUGUUUAUGUGUGCAGGGUGGUUUAUGUGCAUGAUUAGAGGUUGUGCAUGCAUGCAUCAUUUUGUCUGUUGCAUCAUCAUUUGCUGGGGUAUAUUAGUUGUUUGUUUCCUCUUGGGUGGCUACUAGGGCCGGAAACGAGUUGUUUGUUUCCUCUUUGGAAUAAUUCCUAAAUGGAAUUUUCCUAUUCUGGCAGAUGCCAAAUUUGGCAGGUUCAAGAACAUCUCCUAUUCUUGACUAUAGUGUAGUUUGAUUCUGUGCAAUCUUUCUUUUGCUGAGUGUGGCGUUUUUCUGCAUGCAAACAUGGCAGUAUGAUAUAUGGAUUUGGGGUAGAAAAUCCCAAGGAAUCCAAUGGUGGUACUCGAAUUCAGUUUUGAGCAUUCCUGUAGAAAAGUCACCUUGUGAUGAGGUGGCACUUGUUUAUGUGUGCAGGGUGGUUUAUGUGCAUGAUUAGAGGUUGUGCAUGCAUGCAUCAUUUUGUCUGUUGCAUCAUCAUUUGCUGGGGUAUAUUAGUUUUUUGUUUCCUCUUGGGUGGCUACUAGGGCCGAAAACGAGUUCGAGGAUUCCGGUGAGUUCGUGCACGAAGAUCAGGUACAGUUCCACUCUAAAGAAAUCACAUGCAAGAUGUCAUGACCUUGGCCCCGUGGCCUUGGAGCCUUGCGUUGGUGUUCCCUCGAAGCGGAAAGGGUGAUGUAGCACAACGGUGGUAAGUAUUUCCCUCAGUUUGAGAACCAAGGUAUCAAUCUAGUGGAGGAGUAUCACAAGAUCCUACACAAACACAAAAACCUGCUCCCAACGCUAUGAAGGGGUUGCCAAUCCCUUAUAGAUUGUUCGCCAAGUGAGAAUUGAAAGCAACAAAGUAACAAAGCAAAGUAAAAGCGGAGGUGUAAACGAUGGAUGUCAAUAGACCCCCGGGCCGUAGUGUUUACUAGUGGCUUCUCUCAUGAAAGCAAGUAGACGGUGGGUGAACAAAUUACUGUCGAGCAAUUGAUAGAACCGCACAAAGUUGUGACGAUAUCUAUGGCAAUGAUUAUAUCUAUAGGUAUCAUGUCCAAAACAAGUAAACCGAUACUGUCUACAUCUACUACUAUUACUCGACACGUCGACCGCUAUCCAGCAUGCAUAUAGUGUAUUAAGUCCAAAAGAAUAGAGUAACGCCUUAAGCAAGAUGACAUGAUGUAGAUGGACAAUCUCAUAUCAACGAGAGAGCCCAUCUUGUUACCCUUGAUGGAAACUACUUAAUGUGUGCCUUGCUGCCCCUAUUGUCACUGGGAAAGGUCACCACAUGGUAGAACCCAAAACCAAGCACUUCUCCCAUUGCAAGAAUCAUAGAUCUAGUUGGCCAAACAAAAUCCAUGACUCGGAGAGACUUACAAUGAUAUCAAAUCAUGCAUAUAAGAAAUCAGCAAAGACUCAAAUAUAUAUCAUAGAUAAUCUGAUCACGAAUCGACAAUUCAUCGGAUCUCGACAAACACACCGCCAAAGAAGAUUACAUCGGAUAGAUCUCCAUGAAGAUCAUGGAGAACUUUGUAUUGAAGAUCCAAGAGAGAGAAGAAGCCAUCUAGCUACUAACUACGGACCCGUAGGUCUGAAGUGAACUAGUCACGAGUCAUUGGAGGGGCGAUGAUGAUGAUGAAGAAGCCCUCCAACUCCAAAGUCCCCUCCGGCAGGGCACCGGGAAGGGUCUCCAGAUGAUAUCUCGCGGAAACGGAAGCUUGCGGCGGCGGAAAAGUAUUUUCGAGGCUCCCCUGAUUUUUUGCUGUAUUUUAGGGAAUAUAUAGGCCAAAGAUCUAGGUCAGGGGGCGGCCAGGGAGGCCACAAGCCCUGCCACCGCCACCUCCCCCUGGUGGCGGAGUGGGGGCUUGUGGGCUCCCAGGAGCCCUCCUCGCUUGGCCCACAGGCCCCAUGAUCUUCUUUCGUUUGGGAAAAAAUCAUUUCGGGGAUUUUAUUCCGUUUGGACUCCGUUCCAAAAUUAGAUCUGAAAAGAGCCAAAAACACAGAAAAAACAGGAACUGGCACUUGACACUGAAUCAAUAAGUUAGUCCCAAAAAAGAUAUAAAAGGUACAUGAAACAUCCAAAGAUGACAAGAUAACAGCAUGAAACCAUAAAAAAUUGUAGAUACGUUUGAGACGUAUCACACCCCUCCAGGGUUAAAUCUUUCGGAAAGCCGUACCUGCGGUUAUGUGGCAAACUUGGAUAUUUUGUUAACAUCCGAUUCUAGAUAACUUAAAGUAACUUAAAUAAAACUUGCCAACUAUGUGCGUAACCAUGACUGUUUCUUUCAGAGCUCCUUCUCUGAUCGAGAACACGAUGGGGUUAUGAAUGACGUAAGUAGGUGUUCAGGAUCAAUUAGUGAUCAUUAUAGUCUUCGACUGUCUUACGUAGACCACCAUAACUCAUUUCUGAUCUUCAUAAGUUGGCCACCAUAUAUGCUUAGGAUGCCGCUAACUCAAACACUUAAGCCUACCUCACCUAUUAACUUAGUUAGAGUCGAUACCAAGGUCAUGAUAUUGUUGAGUCCUCGUGGCUCACAGUUUACUACAAACACCCAUAGGUACAGGUACUCCAGAUGCAGACAUUCCCGAUGAUACUCAGUUGAGGUGGGAGUUCGACAAGGCCAGUGGCAGGCUUUAUGUGACGUAUCCCGAGGGUUAGAGGCACUUGGUCAUGUUCAUGGGCCUAGCAAGGCGGUAUAGCUUUAUUUUGCUGUUUAUCUUGUCUGUAGUUGGACCCUGUCUUAUGUAUGAAUGAUGAAUGCUUGUGUGGAUUGUAAUCUAGCAUGUGGCGAGUGUAAGUAGAAUCUUAUACUCAUCUCUCUAUUUAUGUAAUGGCAAUGUUAACCUGCUUGCGAUACACUUAGAUGAGACUCUUUCCCCUUUUGAGGCCUCGCCCCCAAAUAAGGAAAGUGCUGCAUCUUAGUAGUUACAAGCUGGUAAUCACGACCUUACAACCAUAGGAGCCUUUGAUUGAUCGAACUUGGCCGAGUCGAGUCUAGCAAAAACUAUUUUGAGUCUUAGUUAUAUCAGAGAGUAGGUUUCUUUUUUCUCGUCUUCUAUGCUCUGGUGAGGUUUAUGACUUAGGAAAUUUUAAUUCUACUCCUCCGCUCGCUCAAUUUUUUUUGGGAUCACGCAGAUAUUUUGGAGUCUAUAUGAUACCGAUGUGACGAAGUUCUGUCUUGGUGCCUCCUGUUGUGUUGAUUUUAUUCCGGGGAGUUGAGCUCCAGGAGAUUCUUGAGCACAUCAUUAUCAUUCAGAUUUCUUAGUAUCUUAGGACGGAGGAUGUUCGAAAUUGCUUCAAUACUAGUGGUGGCGAGAUAACCUCGACAUCCCCAGUACUGGUGCAGAGAGUUCGGGGGUACUGCCAUACUUGGUAUCGUUGUGAUUACGAGGACGUGAGAUAGAUGGGUUUCCGAGAUAUCUGGUUAUGUGUUGACGGAUGUGAUACACUAGACGGGUUAGUAUAGGAGUUGACUAAUAUAUUACUCCUUGUAUUCGUGGACCAGAUUGCAUGAGCAGAAAUUUAGGAGUUCUUCGGUGGGAAUUCAAGUAGUUACUUAUAGGACAAUCAUUCAUCAGAUGCAUGAUGUGAGGUUGGGGUUCAACAUUUAGUGGAUUCAUUUGUUCACGGUUGUCUUACAACGGUUCUCAUUGUGUCUUAAAGAGUCCUUGUAGUUUGCUACGACUAGGGGACGCUUCAUAUGUCUUGUGCACUGCCUUGUACAUGAUGACUACUAUAGUAUAGUGCCCGUGCGAUCCUAUCCACGAAAAUAUCAGAUGGAAUCUCGGUCGUACAUUUGUUCCGAGCAAUCCUAGCUCAUACUUGAUUUACAAGUGGCUUUGAAUCAGAUGUUGUCUAUAGUUAUUUUGAGGAAGCGUUCUUACUAAUUAUAAUUCGAGUGCAAUUGCUAAGUAUUCUUGUUCACAUAUUUCUGUCCGUUGAAUCAUCUUAAUCUUUGAAUUUUCAUCUCUCGUCGAACGUUGUUGUCCAUCUCCAAGAUGGCUCUACCAACUCGCCAGAAUCCGGAUCGUGAGAGUGCUGACCCUCCACCACCCCUCUGCCACCGCCUCCUCCUCCAGAGGCAUGGCAAGCUGUGAUGGCGGCAACCAAUGCAAACACUCAGAUGUUGCUUCAGUUGUUGCAAGAGAGGAACCAACAGCAGCACGACAAUUUCAACAAUGGUGGACAACAGUUUGCAACUCUGAAUAAAUUCCUGGUGAACCAGCCGAAGUCCUUCACUUCCUGUGACCAGCCAUUCGAUGCAGAUGACUGGAUUCGUGACAUGAACAAGCACUUCGAGUGCAGUAAUGUGCGACCAGAGGACUUCAUCAAGUUUGCAACUUUUCAGCUCAAGGUUCAGGCAGCAGAGUGGUGGCAACAAUUGAAGGAUUCCACAGGUGACAAAAUGAUCAGCUGGGAUGAUUUUUACAGGGAUUUCAGGGCUCACUAUAUUCGAACAAGUUUCAUGGAAGAGAUGCAUGAGAAAUUCAGGCGCUUGAAGCAAGGAGGUUCGUCUGUGUACAAGUACAAUGUGGAGUUCCAGGAGCUGGCUCGUUAUGCUAAACAGGACAUCCGAGAUCAAAAGAGCAAGAUUUAUCAGUUCAGAGGUGGUCUGAAGGAAGACUUGCAGCUGGCCCUUGCCUUGCACGAGCCUCUUGAGUUCGACCAGUUCUACAAUUUGGUUCUCAGGGCUGAGGCGGCUUUGCUCAAAGUGGAGAACUCAAGGAAGCGUUCAAGAGAUUCCAGUUCCUCGUCCUCAACUUAGGUGGUUCGGAAGCAACAGAAAUAUUAGGUGUCUCCUCCUCCUCGGCAGAUUCAGCAGUUUAAGCAGUCUAAUGGUCGUGGUUCUUCCCACCCACCCAACCCAACUUUCCAGCAUAGAUUUCAGCAGCAACAGAAGCAAGGGAAUCCUCAAGUGCAAUUCCGUCCGCUGUCACAGGUGACUUGUCACAAGUGUAAGAAGAAGGGUCAUUACUCUAACAAGUGCACCACUCAGCAGUGUCUUCCGCCUCCUCCUCCAGUGGAGCCUCCAGGCAAUGCUAUGGUGAAGUUAAACCCAAGUCUGCAAGGGUCAAUAUGGUGAAUGCAGCUAAAGCAGAAAACUCCUCAGACAUGAUCAUGGGUAUUCUCUUGGUUAAUGAUAUUCCUGCAAAGGUUUUAUUUGACUCAGGCGCAUCGCAUACUUUUAUGUCAUUUCCCUUUGCAUCUGGAAAUAAUUUUGGAACCGAGUUUUUACCAAAGGCGUUGCAAGUUGUGUCUCCGGGCAAACGUCUUAGUUGCAAUUUGGUGGUUCGGGAUUUCUCUGUCUAGAUGGGCGACUAUUCCUUUCUGGCUUCUCCAAUUGUCCUUGGCAAGUCUGAUAUUGAUUUGAUCCUUGGGAUGGAUUGGCUGGCGAUGAACAAGGCGUAUAUUGAUUGUGAAGCAAAAGAAGUCAAGCUAACUCAUCCUUCGGAGGACGUGAUCAUUUUCGCUGCUCGCGAUGACACGAUCCGUCUGCUUUCCCUGAAUGAGAACGGUGAGAUCUCUCCAAUUUCUCAAGUUCUAGUGGUUUGUGAGUAUGAAGAUGUCUUUCCAGAAGAACUGCCAGGAAUGCCUCCGCACCGGGCAAUGGAGUUCGUAAUUGAGCUUGAACCUGAAACCGAACUAGCCUGCAAGCGUCCGUAUAAAUUGGGUCCAGAAGAGGUGAAAGAGCUGAAGAAGGAGCUUGAUGAGCAAGAGCGUCUGGGUCUGGUCAGACCAAGUUCAUCUCCUUGGGGUUGUGGUGUUCUGUUUGUCAAGAAGAAGGAUGGCACAGACCGACUCUAUGUCGAUUACCAUCCAUUGAGUAAGAAGACAAUCUGAAACAAUUAUCCACUUCCCAACAUCAAUGAAUUGUUCGAGCAAUUGGAAGGGGCCAAGAUUUUCGCUAAGCUUGAUCUUUGGAUGGGAUAUCAUCGGAUCCGCAUUCGCGAAGAAGACAUUCCCAAGAAUGCUUUCAGGACAAGCUUUGGCUCUUAUGAGUACACAUUGAUGUCUUUUGGUCUCGCCAAUGCUCCUCCGACCUUCUCUAGGAUGAUGAAUUAUAUCUUCUCCCCAUUCAUGAAUGAAUUUGUCUUGCUGUAUCUUGAUGACAUUCUAGUCUUUUCUAAAACUAAGGAGGAGCAUGAAGAACAUCUCCGGCUGGUGCUUGAUAUGCUAAGAGAGCAUAAGUUCUAUGCUAAGUUUUCCAAAUGUGAAUUCUGGUUGAAGGAAGUUGUGUACCUUGGGCACAUCAUCUCUGCUGACGGGGAUACAACCCUAGGGUAGGGUCAUAGGCCUGACCUAUAUGUCCUACCCAAGGGCACCUCAUUAUUAGGACUACAAGGGAAAUUCUGGCUGGAUCGCGACAACAUCUAAUCCACUCGGUAUGGAUCCACUCGGACAAGUACACACUAUCCACUCGGACGACGAUAAACCACUCGGCCAUAUGUCUCACUCGGAUAUGCGAAGACCAAUAGGGUAGUCGAAGCGUCAUACUCAUAGUGGAGGUUUCAUAGUGGGUUGUCAUCAUGGCACUAAUGCUCCAUCUUGUAACAUAGGAGGUGAGGGGGUGACGCACUCUAUAUAAGCCACCCCCACCACAUAGCUUAGGGUAUAGUUUUCUUCUCCCCCGGUAGGCUCAUUCUUUCCCCGGAGCUCUGGCUCUCUCUAUACCAUGUAACUCAUGUCCAUGACAGAUAAAACAAAGCCUCUCCGGAGCACGAGACGUAGGGUUGUUAUCUCCACUAUGAGAGGCCUGAACUCGCUAAAACCACCGUGUCACCCAUGUGCAUCUUGAUAGAUCAUGCUCCGUUAUCCUACCCCCUUUCUAUUGUCGAAAUCAUUACCACGACAUUUGGCGCCCACCAUGGGGCAUGGCGUCUAUCAAGCCAUGAUGCAUACGGUUAUUUUUCAUCGUCGUCAGCCUCAUGGUCGUCAUGCGUGGCCACUGGCAUCGUCCGGCUCGUCGUCGUCAUGCGCGGCCACCAGCGUCCUUCGCCUCAUCAUCGUCACGGGCAGCCACCGGCGUCCCGUCGUCGUUACGUAUGGCUACCGGCGUCGUCCGUCUCAUUGUCGUCAUCUCCGGCCUUGCUCGGGCACCGCCAUCGCCACACUCUGUCACAUGCAGUACAUCGGAAGAGUACGACGACCGGUCCAGCCUCCCGGUUCCUAGGGUAGCGAGGCUCAGCUGCCGAUGCUCCACCCAGCUCCGCGGGCGUCAAAGCGGAGCGCUACUUCGACCGGCACGCAGCUCCGUCUCCCAGGGCGAUGAGACACGGCCACGAGUGCUCGCAUGGACCCCGCACCUGGGAGCGUCGGCCUGCUUCUCCGACGCCUGGGCUACGACCAAUCGCUCAUCCACCUCGUCGGUACUUCUCGGUCGUCAAUGGAUUCUGACCAGAACGACCUUUUCCACCACAGCAGAACUCUCGAACUCCAUACUAUUUUCGCAACUCCUGCAUGGCGGCAUGCAUGCAAAAACCUCCACGUUUUAAUUUUUGCUUGGUUCAAUACAUGGCAAGUCUGGCCAGACGGCCGUUUCCACUAACGCUUCUUGCAAGCAAUUUCAGGACGUGGGAUAACUCCUUCAAUGCCAUAAGACGUGGUGGCAACCGCUUCAAUGUGUUGGACGUGGACAACUCCUUCGGUGAGCCACACUAUCAUGCCUAGUUAUAAGGGAGGUCUGCUGCCCCAUCACCAUUUCGCUGAGGUAAUUACCCCAUUAAGCAUCUCAUAAGGUGAGCAUUACGUGCGCCCAAUUAAUUGUGCAUGCAUGCAAGCUUAACCGCCCGUCAUCAAGUGUCCUAUCGAGUGAGCAUUUCCUAUGGUCAAUUAAUUAUGCCUGCAUGCAUGCAUAACAGUUCAUCAUCAUGGAAUGUCAUCAUGAUAAUCCUUGUAAAAUAGCAUCUAUUCGGGCAUGUUUUGAUCCAGCAAAAUAUAUAUUCGUAGCUAUACUUGCUACUAACUUGCAGGGUCACUCAUUUGUCAUCGUCCCCGAACAACGGUUUAUUUGAACGAACUGUCAAUUCGAGUCAGACGUGUCAUCAUCACUCGGUCGCCCUGCAUGCCGUCGCUAAGUCAAAAGCAUCGUCAUCACUCGGCCGCUCUGCGCGUCGUCGCUCGGUCGGACGUGCGUCGUUGCUUGGUCGGACGCGUCUCGUCAUCACUCGGCCGUCCUGCACAUCGUCGCUGAGUCAGACGUGCGCCGUCAUCAUUCGGCAGCUCCGCACAUCGCCACUCAGCCAUACGCUCCAUCGUCACCCGGCCACUCCGCGUGGCGUCACUCUACUAGACGCGUCGUCAUCACUCGGUAGCUCCGCGCAUCGCCACUCAGCCGGACGCUCCAUCGUCACUCGGCCACUCCGCACGCUAUCACUCUACUGGACCCGUCGUCAUCACUCGGCAGCUCCGUGCAUCGCCACUUAGCCGGACGCGUCGUCAUCACUCGGCGGCCCUACAUGCCAUCGCUCGAUCGGACGCGUCGUCAUCACUUGGCCGCCCUGCAUGCCGUCACUCAGUCGGACGCGUUGUGAGCACUCGGUCGCCCCGCGCGCCGUCCCUUAGUCAGAUGUCUCAUCAUCGCUCGGCCGCCCUGCAUGUUGUCACUCAGUCGGACGUGUCGUCAGCGCUCGGCCGCCCUACGCGCCGUCCCUCAGUCGGACCCGUCGUCAGCACUCGGUAGCUUCGCGCAUCGCCAGUCAGCAAGACACGCCAUCCUCACUCGGUUGGAGAAUCCUUCGUCACUCGGCAGCUCCGCUUGCCGCCACUCAAUUGGACGCUCCUUCAUCACUCGGCAGCUUCGCGCGUCGUCACUCGGCUGGAGGCUCCUUCGUCACCUGGUUGCUCUACGCGUCGUCACUCGGCCGCCCCGCGUGUCGCCACUCAGAUAGACGCGUCUUCAUCGCUUGACCGCCCAACACAUCGCCACUCAGCCGGACGUGUCUACUUCGCUCGACCGCCCCGCGCGUCGUCAGGCAGCUAAGUCAUUUUUUCACAGACUGCAUUCAAUUAAAUAAUCAUUUCUACAUUACCGAGUGUCGAGGAAGUCGCACAUGACGUUCACUCGGAGGCCACGCCACCGAGUGUACCUCUGCACUCGACUGUUUAUUUUUAUGUGGGAACACUUCACUUCCGCUUCGUUUUGGUCCAGUACUCAAACGAGUUCAGUCGAAUCCUUCACUUGCAUAAGUACAGUCGGAUCCUGCACAAGUACAACCACCUGGCACACCCAGUGGGUGUCUAUGGAUGUUAUUUACACAAACUAUUUCAGAAAAGGUCAAAUUACUUUGAUAAAUUUUCAUGCUGGCUUGUGCUAUUUUUCAUACACAGGUUACGCGAUCACUCGACGCAUCCGUGUGCCACCCUUGUCACUACUCAGGCUCAGUCGCCGCAACAAUCAUUUGUACGUUUUCAUGUGUACGGGAGCCCCUUCGAUGACGUAGUGGACACGGCCGCCCCGCGUGCCGUCAGUAGGUCGGACGCCUCCUCAACAUACAUCACUCGAAUGCCCCACGCAUCGCCACUCCGUGUGGCACGUCUUCAUCACUCGGACGCCCCGCGCGUCACCGCUCGGCUUAACUGCGAUUCAGUAUCGCCUAAGUUAAAACUACUUCGAGUACGGACGCGCUCCACACUCGAGAACUUAGCUGCGACUCCAUAUCGCCUAAGUUAAAACUACUUCGAGUACGGACAUGCUCCACACUCGGGAACUUAGCUGCGACUCCGUAUCGCCUAAGUUAAAACUACUACGAGUACGGACACGCUCCACACUCGGGAACUUAGCUGUGACUCCAUGUCGCCAAAGUUAAAAUUACUCUGAGUAUGGACACGCUCCACACUCGGGAACUUAGCUGCGACUCCGUAUCGCCUAAGUUAAAACAACUCCGAGUACGGACACGCUCCACACUUGGGGGCUUAGCUGCGACUCCGUAUCGCUUAAGUAAAAAACUACUCCGAGUACGGACACGCUCCACACUCGGGGACUUAGCUGCAACUCCGUAUCGCCUAAGUUAAAACAACUCCGACUACGGACACGCUCCACACUCGGAGGCUUAGCCGCGACUCCGUAUCGCUUAAGUUAAAAACUACCCCGAGUACGGACACACUCCACACUCGGGGGCUUAGCUGCGACUCCGUAUCGCUUAAGUUAAAAACUACUCCGAGUACGGACACGCUCCACACUCGGGGGCUUAGCUACGACUCCGUAUCGCCUAAGUUAAAAACUACUCCGGGUACAGAUACACUCCACACUAAGGAACUUAGCUGCGACCCCGUAUCGCCUAAGUUAAAAAAUACACUCGGAGACUUGACUUUGAUCUAGAAAUCAUAUAAUGCAGAUUCAACAAACAUUCAACAUGACAAGUACUGGAAGUCUUAAACCCUCGGCCAGACUCAUCUAGUCCGACAGAGGCUCGGGGAAUAUACCCAGUGGGUGCACUGAGCGUGCCCCCACAGGAAGAGAAAUACAAAAAAACAUUCUGCUUGGUCAGGUCCAGCAACAACAUUCAAGUUCAACAGAUUCAACAGACUCCAACCGACUACCAACAAUCAGUUAGAGUCUCAAGAUCAUGUUGGUCACUCGGAUCUACUUCAAUUCUCAAGUUCACUCGAACAUACUACUCAGCAGAAUCGAUCAGGGCGAAUGAUGGAUACUUCAAUCGACGCACAAUUCUGUAAGCCCCUGAAGCACGUUCAAGUUCGGUUUGCUGCUACAAGAUUUACAUUGGCACCUUCACCACUCGGACCCUGAUCCAUUCGGGGGCUAAUGACGGGGAUACAACCCUAGGGUAGGGUCAUAGGCCUGACCUAUAUGUCCUACCCAAGGGCACCUCAUUAUUAGGACUACAAGGGAAAUUCUGGCUGGAUCGCGACAAGAUCUAAUCCACUCGGUAUGGAUCCACUCGGACAAGUACACACUAUCCACUCGGACGACGGUAAACCACUCGGCCAUAUGUCUCACUCGGAUAUGCGAAGACCAACAGGGUAGUCGAAGCGUCAUACUCAUAGUGGAGGUUUCAUAGUGGGUUGUCAUCAUGGCACUAAUGCUCCAUCUUGUAACAUAGGAGGUGAGGGGGUGACGCACUCUAUAUAAGCCACCCCCACCACAUAGCUUAGGAUAUAGUUUUCUUCUCCCCCGGCGGGCUCAUUCUUUCCCUGGAGCUCUGGCUCUCUCUAUACCAUGUAACUCAUGUCCAUGACAGAUAAAACAAAGCCUCUCCGGAGCAUGAGACGUAGGGUUGUUAUCUCCACUGUGAGAGGCCUGAACUCGCUAAAACCACCGUGUCACCCAUGUGCAUCUUGAUAGAUCAUGCUCCGUUAUCCUACCCCCUUUCUAUUGUCAGAAUCAUUACCACGACAUCUGCCGAGGGCAUCAAAGUUGAUCCUACAAAGGUGCAGGCCAUUGUUGAGUGGGAACCUCCUCAGAAUGUGAAGCACCUUCGAAGCUUUCUCGGGCUUGCAAGCUAUUGCAGAAGGUUCGUUGAGAACUUCUCCAAGAUUGCUAAGCCUCUUUCCAACCUUCUUCAGAAGAGUGUGAAGUUUGUCUGGUCUCCAGAGUGUCAGUUGGGCUUCGACACACUGAAAGAGAAGCUCACUUCAACUUCAGUCUCGACUCCUCCUGAUGAUUCCAAGCCUUAUCAAGUGUUCUGUGAUGCCUCUCUUCAAGGUCUUAGUGCAGUUAUGAUGCAAGAGAAGAACGUGGUAGCUUAUACCUCGAGGCAGUGAUCCAUGCUUUGAUGACUUGGAGACAUCUCUUGUUAGGCAGACAUGUUGAAGUCUACACCGAUCACAAGAGUCUCAAAUACAUCUUCACUGAGCCUAUUUUCAAUCUUCGGCAAACUCGUUUGGUGGAAAUGAUCCAAGAUUAUAAUCCGAGCAUGGAAUUCACUCCAGGCAAAGCUAGUGUCAUUGCAGAUGCUUUGAGCAGAAAGGCUUACUGCAACAGUCUCAUUCUGAAGCCUCUCCAACCUCAUCUUUGUGAAUCUUUCAGGAAGCUCAACCUUCAGAUAGUACCUCACAGAUUUCUUGCCAAUCUCCAGAUUUCUCCUACCUUGGAAUACCAAGUCCGACAAGCUCAACUUCUUUAUGCGAUGGUGAAGAAAGUUAAGAUUGUCUUGGCAAAGAGCAUUCUGAAAUAUAAGUGCUUCCGUGUUGAUGAUAGAGAUACCUUGUUCUUGGAGGACCGCCUUGUCGUUCUGAAAGGAGAGCUCAUGAAAGUUAUCAUGGAUGAAGCCCAUAAUUCCCUCCUCUUGAUACAUCCAGGAAGAUCCAAAAUGUAUCAGGAUCUGAAGCAGACCUUUUGGUGGACUCACAUGAAACGUGAGAUUGCUCAGUUUGUGAACGAGUGUGAUGUGUGUCGCAGAGUGAAGGCAGAGCAUCAACAUCCAGCAGGUCUCCUGCAUCCCUUGCCUAUACCCGAGUGGAAAUUCGAUCAUGUGGAAAUGGAUUUUGUCAUUGGGUUUCCGAAGUCCAAGAGAGGCAACGAUGCCAUCUUCGUCGUCAUCGACAAGUUGACCAAAGUUGCUCAUUUCCUACCAGUCAAAGAGUCUAUCUCACCAGCUCAGCUUGGAGAGCUGUAUACAUCAAGGAUAGUCUCGUUGCACGGUGUUCCUAUCCUCAUUUCUUCAGAUCGUGGAAGCAUCUUUACUUCCAAGUUCUGGGAUUCCUUUUAGACUGUGAUGGGUACUAAGAUCCGUUUCAGUAUAACUUUCCAUCCUCAGACAAGUGGGCAAGUUGAGAGAGUCAAUCAGGUCCUUGAAGAUAUGCUUAGAGCUUGUGUGAUUUCUUUUGGCAUGAAGUGGGAAGAUUGCCUACCGUUUGCCGAGUUCUCAUACAGCAACAACUUUCAAGCAAGUUUAGGCAAGGCCCCAUGCGAGAUUCUAUAUGGCAGGAAGUGCCGUUCCCUGCUCAAUUGGUCAGAGACUGAUGAUCGUCAUAUUCUUGGGAACGACAUGAUUGAUAAAGCAGAAGAAAUGUUCCGUGUCAUUCGGGAUAAUUUCAAAGCAGAUCACUCCCGUCAGAAGAGCUACUACGAUAGCAAGCAUCAUGACAUGACUUUUCAGAUCAAUGAUUUUAUGUAUCUGAAAGUGUCUCCCAUGAAGGGCACUCAGCGCUUCGGCAUCAAAGGAAAGCUCGCUCCUCCCUUUGUUGGUCCUUUCAAAAUUGUUGGCAAGAGAGGCGAUCUUGCAUAUCAGUUAGAGGUUCCAUCCAACUUUUCCAAUGUGCAUGAUGUGUUCCACGUCUCUCAGCUCCGGAGAUGCUUCAAGACUCCCGAGCACAAAGUUGAUCUCCAGGAUAUCGAUCUCCAGCCCGACCUAUCCUACUAUGAGCAUCCGAUAGCAAUACUUGAAGAGACUGAGCGCAAGACCCGCAAUAAGUCAAUCAAGUUGCUCAAAGUGCAAUGGUCACAUCAUCCAGACAAAGAAGCCACUUGGGAGCAUGAGGACCACCUCCGUUCCGAGUAUCCGGAGUUCUUCCAGUCCUAGAUCUCGGGUCAAGAUCCUCUUGUAGUGUGGCAGAGUUGUGACAGCCCCAAUGCAAUUCCUUCCCCCUUGUAAUUCUUCCUUGUAUGACAACCUUGAUAUGGUAAUUAUAUGUGGUGUGAGCCCAUCAUUGUGUCAUCAUUUCUUGUGCACCAUGCCUUGAUGCAUUGCAUUUUUCCUCUUGUUUUUGUUUGUGUUGGUGUGGGUCAACUUCUUGAUGUGCUAUGCAAGUGUUAGAGGAUGUGCUUGGUGUUUUUUGUGGUGUGGGUGCAUUAAGUGCAUUUCAAACCCACAAGUUGCACCAUAGGAUAAAACCCCUUCUCUCCUCUUUAUUUUAUUUUGUGGCAGAUUUAGAAGUUUCAGUUUUGCCCGAAUAAAAAUGUUCAUCUUUUCCUAAAAAUCUUAUUAUUAAAUGUGGAGGCAACCCCUCCGGUUUUCUUUUAUUUUAUCUUUUGAUUUUAUUCAAAAUAGAGCCUCAUUUUGAAAUAAAAGGUAUUUGAUUUUUAUUCUACUUAAUGCCCAAUUUAUUUUUAUAAAUUGGAGCAUGAGAUUACAAGCCUAAAUAUACUUUUCCUUUUGUUUUCUCCUUUUCUUUUAGCCUGUGGGUUUAUUUCAAAACUUGAGUAUUUAUUAUUUGCAAAGGGGUUUUCCUUUAAACCAGAGAGAGACAAAGAAGAGGCCCAACAGCGUUAUUUCGGCCCAGGCCCAGCCAGCGACCCCCUUCUUCCUCCUGGCUGUCAUCAUGCGUGUACGAACAGAGCUCCACCACCAGAUCGACCCCCAUCCUACAUCAGACGGCCACUAGGGCUCCUCCUCUGGUCUAUUUGGCCGUGCCCCGCGUCUAGGGUUCCUCCUCGUUUUCCUCCUAGCGCCGUCGGGGUGAGCCACCCGUCGCCGCCGUCGCCAUGAGAAGCUCUUGGUGAGCUCGUCAGCAGCAGCAUAUCAAAGGUCGUCUUCUUCCCCGUCUGAACCAGGAGCUCGCAGAGGACCAUGGGGUUCCAUUCCCGCGGUAACCGUACGUCAAGGUCGAUGCCACGACGCUCGACAAUGAGCGGCUCUUCUUCCUCUCCGGCGAACCUUCUUCUGCAGCACCUCGACGUCGAGCCCUUCCUCUCCCGCGUGGGUUUCUUCUCUGAACCAUAGGUGAGCACCCGCAUUGCUCCGCUUCCCUUCUUGUUCCUGCAGACUACCGUCGCCGUCGUUCCUUCUUCGCUACCGUCGAGUAGCAGCAACCGUGCAAAGCAAGCAGCAGUAGCAGUAGUGCAGUUCAGUAGUAGCGGCAGCAAGGCUUUGCGUUAGUUUAGUGGCAGCCGCAACAGUUGUGCUCAAGCGCGUAGCCUCCCCCGCGUAGUGCAGGUGAGGGAAUGCCAGCGUGCACCCGUGAGCCGCAUAGUUGCCGGCGCCUCUCUGUCAAACAGAGGGGGGGCCUCCUUCUGCACCUCGCCCCCUUGGAUCUGGUCCACUCACCUAGCCUACUGGUUAACUUCAGCGUGUGCGACCCUGAGGUCACGGGUUCGAGACCCAAUGCUUCCCCCUUUUUGUUUUAGUAUAUUUUGGUGGUGUUAGCGCGAGCAGGGAAGGAUCAACCUUCCUAUUUCUCUGUUUGGGGCAGCUAGCAACCGCUAGCGCAUCAGCAACAACAUCGCCGCGGCGACUCAACAACUCGUGGGUUCGAACCCUGGCACUCCCCCCUUUUUAUUUGCACAUUUUGUGGGGUUGCAGUGCAAUUAGCACUUAGAGCAUUUUCCCCCAAUAGUGCAACUAAUCUGGCUCAACUUAGUGGAAGAGGUGUGUGUGGGAGAGGUGGUGGGUUCGACCCCCACCAAGGACCCUUUUAUUUUUAGUUGUGCCGUGAGUGUAGGGCCACUGACAAGUGGGCCCAGGGCCCACAUGUCAUGCACUAAGGACAUCUAUGACUAGUGGGCCCUGUCUGUUAGGUUAGUUGAUAUUUUUUUAUGUUCCUUUAUUUUAUUUCUAUUGACGUGAUAAAUUCCAUCUUUGGAAUAAUUACUAAAUGGAAUUUUCCUAUUCUGGCAUAUACCAGAUUUGGCAGGUUCAGGAACAUCUCCUGUUCUUGACUAUUAGUGUCGUUUGAUUCUAUGCAAUCUUUCUUUUGUCGAGUGUGGUGUUUUUCUGCAUGCAAACAUGACAGUAUGAUAUAUGGAUUUGGGGUAGAAAAUCCCAAGGAAUCCAAUGGUGUUACUGGAAUUCAAUUUUGAGCAUUCCUGUAGAAAAUUCACCUUGCGGUGAGGUGGCACUUGUUUAUUUGUGCAGGGUGGUUUAUCUGCUUGAUUAGAUGUUGUGCAUGCAUGCAUCAUUUUAUGUGUUGCAUCAUCAUUUUCUAGUGUUUAUUAGUUGUUUGUUUCCUUUUGGUUAGCUACUGGGGCCGGAAACGAGUUCGAGGAGUCCUGUGAGUUCGUGGAGGAAGAUUAGGAAUAGUUCCACUGUGAAGAAAUCACACGCAAGAUGAUCGUGACCUUGACACCGUAUUUAGCUUUGUUAUGCUUAGUGAUUCGUUUCUAUCAUUACGUCUCCGUUUCUUACCACAUGAUAUAUAGGCCAUCAAACAUUGCCAUGAAACCUCAAACACCUCCCCACCUAGCAAAUAUUGUUUGGCUAAGUUAGGCUUGCUCAACCACUAAUUUAUUAGCGUUGCUAGUUGCAGGUGCCAGCUGCUCCAUGUGAUAACAUGGGCAUUUGAUAUCACCCAAUUUAAUUGCUAUUUAAUUAAUGCACCUAUAUACUUGGUAAAUAGCGGAAGGCCUAGCCUUUUGCCGGGCGAUAUGUUCCCCUGUUGCCGCCUUAGUUUCGCCUACCGGUGUUUUAUUCCAUAACUGAGCGCUCCCAACAUAUUCGGGGUUGUUAUGGGGACCCCCUUGAUAACUCAUUUAGUGUUAAGGCUUGUCCGGCAAGACCCAACUUUGGUGUCGAUCUGCUAACAAAUUAAUAAUAAAAAGCAUAGGGAAUAGCUACCCCGAGGAACUAAUCAACCCCCCUGGGCCAGUGCUCCUCAUGAGUGUUGGUCUAAAACAGACUGCGUGCGGGGCCACCUCGAGGAAACUCGAGGUUUGGUUUUCCCGUAGCUAGUUCCAUCCAUCGCAUCGUGAGAACGAGAUACGCGCUCCUAUCGGGUUCGUCGACACGUCGGGAGGUCUUGCUGGACUUGUCUUACCUUAGCGAUAUAUCUUGCGCAUUGGGAUUCCGGUGAGACUUUGGGUCUUCCAAGAGUUGAGGUUUUCCACUAAGGAAUCCAAAGAGAUCACGAGUUUCGUGGUAGAGGAUUGCUAUGCGUCCUGUGGUAAUUUGUGAUGUACUAGUUGGAGCACCCCUGCAGGGUUAAAUCUUUCAAAAAGUCGUGCCUGCGGUUAUGUGGCAAACUUGGAUAUUUUGUUAACAUCCUGUUCUAGAUAACUUAAAGUAACUUAAAUAAAACUUGCCAACUGUGUGCGUAAUGGUGACUGUUUCUUUUAGAGCUCCUUCUCUGAUUGAGAACACAAUGGGGUUAUGAAUGACGUAAGUACGUGUUCAGGAUCACUUAGUGAUCAUUCUAGUCUUCAACCGUCUUACGUAGACCACCAUAACUUAUUUUGAUCUUUGUAAGUUAGCCACCAUAUAUGCUUAGGAUGCUACAAACUCAAACACUUAACCCUACCUCACCUAUUAACUUAGUUAGACUCGAUACAAAAGUCAUGAGAUUGCCGAGUCCUCAUGGCUCACAAUUUACUACAAACACCCACAGGUACAGGUACUCCAGAUGCAGACGUUCCCGAGGAUACUUAGCUGAGGUGGGAGUUCGACAAGGCCAGUGGCAGGCUUUAUGUGACGUAUCCUGAGGAUUAGAGGCGCUUGGUCGUGAUCGUGGGCCUAGCAAGGCGGGAUAGCUUUAUUUUGUCGUUUAUCUUGUCCGUAGUCGGACCCUGUCUUAUGUAUCAAUGAUGAAUGCUUGUGUGGAUUGUAAUCUAGCAUGUGGCGAGUGUAAGCCAAAUCUUAUACUCAUCUCUCUAUUUAUGUAAUGGAAAUGUUAUCCUGCUUGCGAUAUGCUUAGAUGCGACUCUUUCCCCUUUUGAGGCCUCGCCCCCAAAUAAGGAAAGUGCCGCAUCUUAGUCGUUACAUGGAGUUAAUGCAAUGUUCAUCAAUAGACUCUUGUCACCAGUGCUGUGAUUUGCACAUCAACUGUCAAGAACCCACUCAAUGGUUUUGGGGUUUUCAUCCUGCAGAUGAAUUAGUACUGCUUACCAUCUCAUAUGCUUCAGAAUGAAGAAUAUGAUAUCAAAUUCAUCAGACUUGAAUUUCAUCAGAUAGAGUAGAGUUAAGAUAAUAUGAGGACGUGUGGAAUGAUAAUCAUUUCAUCAUGAUUAGCUUGCAUCCUUUCAAGCAUUUCUUCAGGUCUCCAGCAAAUUCUUCAGAUGAUCAAGUUCAUUUGGAGACCUGACUUGCAUAAGCGGUUAUUUCAAUUUCUUCACCACCCACAUUUGAAGGGGUGUUAAAGAGUUCAUCAUCCGGCGAGCACGAUAUGAGAAUUUAGGCAUUGAAUCUAAUGCACUUAGUUUCACAGGAGGGGGGUUAGUGUACUCGAAUGCAUAUGUAGAGAAAUACAUCGAGGGCUUAUGAACAUAAUAGUUUGAGGAAUAGUGCACAUAUUGAUGACUCUUGUAGUUUCCCUGCAUAUCAGAAGCAUUAACACGAGCGUGAGCAAAAUUUUGACCACAUGAGGAAUUUGGUCCUUGUGAAGACUUUAGUCCACUUGAGGAAUUUGAUCUGGGGUUCCUUUUUUCACUGGUGGUGUCAUGAGGACAUUCACAUGAAGACUUUCCAAGAUGCUUCUGGGAACCCAAAUUUUUCUCAAGAGUGGUCCAUUCGUGUAGUUAGUUCCAACAUAUCUAGCUAAUACUUCACCAUUCUGAUUUUUGAACAAUUUAUAGUUGGAGUCAAAUGACUCAUCAGAGGAAUAUGAAGUUUCACAUGCAAAGCCUGAUAAUGUAGAUCGAUCAACAGGAGGUCCUUUUGCAGCAACCCAUGAGGUUUUGGGAUAGUGCUGAGGUUUCCAGUAUGAUCCAUCAGCAUUCAAUUUCCUCUCAAAUGCAAUACCCUCUUUCCUAUGGUUUCUAUUCAGAAUCUACUUUUUGAGCACAUCGCAAAUGGAUUGAUGCCCUUAGAGGCUUUUUAUAUGCCUGUCACAUACAAUUCCUUCAACCCUGCAUUUUCAUCACUGACAUUUGUGGGUUCCUCAAGUGAGGAAUUUGUGACUACAGAUACAGUUGAAGAAUUUGUAGCAAUAGAAGCAUUUGAACUUUUAGUGAAAAAUUAGCAGGUUCACGUUUGGUGCAUUUCAUGCAUGAUGGAAUGAAUUCUUCUUGAGCGGAACUGAUCUAUUGAGCGAGCAAAGAAUCAUUUUCACUUCAAAGAUCAUCAUGAGACACCCUUAGUUUCUCAAGAUCUUGCUUUCUUUGAAAAAAUUCAUAAGAAAGUUUCUCAUGAUCAGCCAAGAGAGUGUCAUGACGUUCUUGAAGACUAUCAAACUUAGACUAAAGAAUUUAAGCAUCAUCAGUCAUGGUUUGAGUCCGAUCCAUUUCCUCGUUCAACACGUAAUCACUUUCGUCUAGCAGUUUGUGAAGCUUUUCAAGAGCAUUCUCUUUCUUAGCGGCAUUAUUACCAAGUGGUUUCUGAUAAUCAUCAGGUUCACACUCACUUGAGUCAGAAGUGGAAAUGUGUUUGGGUACCUUGGCACCUUUUGCCAUGAAGCAAUAGGUGGGAGCAAAGUCGUCAUCAUAGUCAUCAGUGUUAUUGAUGUUGUUAUUUUCUUCGAGGUCGAAGAUGGACUUGCUGACGAAUGUGGUAGCAAGGGCUAGAAUUUACACACCAGACUCCGACUCCUCCUCAGAUCCUUUCUCUUCAUCACAUUCCUCAUAUUCUUCCUUAGAAUCCAUUUCCUUGCCAAUAAGAGCCCGAGCCUUUCUAAAACUAUUUUUCUUGUGCGAUGAGCACUUUGAUGAUGAGGAUUUUGAAGAUUUCUUAUUUUUCUUUGAGUCAUCAGAACUGUCAUCCUUGUACUUCUUCUUGUUUAAUUCCUUUACCCAACAAGGACAAUCAACAAUGUAGUGAUCAGACUUAUUGCAUUUAUGGUAGAUUCUUUUCUUGUAGUCCAGAGAUGAAGAUUCCGAUUUCCUCACAUAUCAUCUUGAAUAUUUUCUGAACUGGCCUUGUCUAGAGAACUUCUGGAAUUUUCUCACAAGCAUAGCAAGUUCUAGACUACUUUCUUCAGGAUCACCAAGACUGCAACCAGAUUCUUCUUCUUCAGAUGAGGAAACAACCUUUGCCAUCAGCGCAUGAGAUCUUCCAUAGCUUGGGCCAUAGAGAUCUCUCUUCUCAGCUUAUUGGAAUCCAUGAGUAUUGACUUUCUCAAGAAUAUCAGCAGGAUCUAGUAACUUGUACUCUCUACGCUCUUGAAUCAUCAGAACCUAUGUAUCAAAAGAAGAAUCAAGAGCUCUUAGCAAUUUCUUCAGCACUUCAUGGUCAGUGAUGUCAUUGGCCCCAAGAGCGUGUAGGUCAUCCAAGAUAUCAGUGAGGCGAUCGAAGGUUUGCUGACCAUUUUCAUUAUCGAGUAUUUUGAAGCAGUUGAAGAGAUUGCAAAGAACAUCAACCCGAGAGUCACGUUGAAUGGAUACUCCUUCGUUGACCUUGGACAACCUGUCCCAUAGGAGCUUUGCAGUUCCCAAAGCGCACACUCUGCCAUACUGACCAUUGCUGAAAUGGCCAUAGAUGAUAUUCUUCGCUUGAGAGUCGAGUUGCUUGAAUCUCUUCAAAUCAGCAGCGUUCACAGUUUCAGACAGAGUGGGAACACUACUUGCCACAACGUACUAGAGAUCAUUGUCAAUUGCUUCAAGCUGCAUGCACAUCUUGUUCUUUCGGUAGGGGUAAUCUGUCCCUUCAAAGGUAGGACAUCCCGCAGUGACCUUGAUCAUACCUGCGGUCGACAUAACUAAAACUCCACGUGGUUAAACCAAAAUCACACAUAACAAGGGAGUACCUUGCUCUGAUACCAAUUGAAAGUGCGUUAUAUCAACUAGAGGGGGGAGGGGUGAAUAGGCAAUUUUCAUGAAUUCGUCACUCAGGAAUUUGCUGGUGAGAAAAUUGCUCAGCCACGAGCAACUUGUAGCGGAAUAAGUACUUAGGCAUAAGCAGAACAUAGCAAAAACAUAGUCAUCACGAUGAAAUGAAACUGAAACUUAGCGCGAGUAGCGUGAUCAGGAUACACAUGUGAAGAACAAGUGAAGUGAAGAAUUUGAGAUGAGGAAAUUGUGAAAGUCUUAAGAGAAAUUCUUCAAACAGUAACGAUCAAUUUCGUCAACACAUAAAUGAGGAAAUAGAAGGGUUGAGGAAAUAGAACGAGGUACUCGGUGAAGACCAUGAUUUGAUGAUCCAAUUCCAACAGCUGUGAUAUUCGUACGUCUGGUUUGGAGCGUCUUGGUAUUUAAACCAAAGGACACACAGUCUGAGGACACUAAGUCCUUACCGUAUUCUUCUUGAGCUAAGGACACACAGUCCUCGCCCAACACUCAUGGUAAGUCUUCAGGGCAGACUUCCAAACCCUCACAAACUCGGUUACUUGGCAAUCCAUAGUUUACUAUUGGAUGCUCUAGACCAGUGUCGCCUAAUCGUCUGGAAGAUGCACAGUCUUCAAUGGUAACAAGUGUCGGUUCCAGAUAGGAACAAUCUCUUCAGUGAUGCUCAAUCACAUUGGGCUUUUGGGUUUUGGUUUGGGUGUUUGGAGUUUUUCCUCAGUGAUGAUUUUAUCUCAAAGUCUUCGAGGAAUGGGUUGCUCUCAAAUGACAAGUGUCAAAUUCUCUCGUGGUGCAGCCAACCAGCUAGUGGUUAUGGUGAGCGGCUAUUUAUACCAUGGGAGCAAUCCCGACAUGAUUUGACAUAAAUGCCCCAAUGAUAUGACUGUUAAUUGGAUAAGGUUUGGGGACACCUGGCGCGCGACACAACAUUGGUCGGAACUUUAUGCUGUGAAAGUCCUCAUGUCUCUCAUAUUCCUCACUUUUAGGUAAUUCGCACUGGGGAAAACCUAACUCGUGAGUUAGAGAAAUUUCCUCAGAGACCAUACGAUCUUCUUUUGUGUCACUAAAAAAAUUGACUAAACUGUAAAAGAUUCCCAAAGGCUUCACUUGAAGGAUUGGGUAUGUGUAGGCUUUGAGAUGAGCAUCACUUGGAAACUUUUCCUUAGUUUUACCUCCGCCCCUAUUAACAGUACGGUGUUCCUAUGACUCAAAAAAGGAAAUGAAACUAUGAAAACAAAAUCUUCACGAUUCAAAGUCCUCACAUCAAUAUCUUCAAGAACACACUGAUUUCCUCACUUUCAAAGUGCUCGAGGAAUUAUCAAAGUCUUGAGUUUAAUACAUUCAUUUUAGGGGCCGAUAUUCUUAGAAUAACUCAAACUCCUCAACGACUUUUAGAGCCUCUGCACACUCACAAACACAUUAGUCUCUUAAUCUAUAACUCUUUAGUACACCAAAAUCACUAAGGGGCACUAGAUGUACUUACAUGUAGGAUGAAGAUGGUGUCUCUCAAACAACCCUGCAAUAAAAUACAAUAAAUCUCUUUUGUCCCCAACACACCCAGUACAAUGAUAAAUUGUAUAUGUGCACUAGUUCGACGAAGGGAUGGUGAUAGAAGUGUACUAUGGAUAGUAGAUAUAGGUUUUUGUAAUCUAAAAAUAAAAACAAGGUAACAAGUAGUAAAAGUGAGCAUAAAUGGCAUUGCAAUGCUUAGAAAAUAAGACCUAGGGUUCAUACUUUCACUAGUGAAGUCUCUCAACAAUGCUAACAUAUUCGAAUCAUAUGAUCAUCCCUCAACGUGCGACGAAGAAUCACUCCAAAGUUCAUAUCCAUCGAGAACAUAAGGUGAAAUUGUUGUAGGUAUUAGAACCACCUCAAAGUUAUUCUUUUUCAUCAAUAUAUUGGGCCAUUCCUAUAAGUGUCACAAACAUCCCUAGAGUUUGUAUUAGAAUAACACAUAUGAUCCACAUCAGUCAACCCUAAUGUCACCUAGAUACUCCGAUAUUACCUCAAUUAUCCAUCGGUUAAUUAUCCGACAUGCAUCAAACAAUUUUAGAUUGAUCAUAUUCAGUCCAACACAAAGAACUUCAAACAAUACCCUAAGAUUUGUAUCAGAGAAAGUACGAAAAGAACGUGUAUCAACCCAUAUGUCUGGAUUACCAAAUUGUCACCAUGUGAUACUGCAAGUUGAGUACCAAAACAUAUAUCAAGUGAAUCAAGAGAACACCCCAUUUUCACCACGGGUAUCCACAUGCAAUACAUACAUCAAGUGAUCUCAAAUCAAAUAUUCCAUCCAACAUAAAAAACAUUUGAAGGGAAAGUUUCAAUUCAUCGCAUCAAGACAACAAGGGAAGAACACCAUAUGAUCCAACUAUAUUAACAAACCCAUGAUACAUCAAGAUCAUUACAUCUGAAGAACACGAGAGAGAGAGANNNNNNNNNNNNNNNNNNNNNNNNNNNNNNNNNNNNNNNNNNNNNNNNNNNNNNNNNNNNNNNNNNNNNNNNNNNNNNNNNNNNNNNNNNNNNNNNNNNNNNNNNNNNNNNNNNNNNNNNNNNNNNNNNNNNNNNNNNNNNNNNNNNNNNNNNNNNNNNNNNNNCCUCAUCAUGGUUACCGUCGGGAGGAUGAAGAUGGCCUUCGGUGAUGAUUUCCCCCUUUGCCAGGGUGCCGGAAGAGGGCUACAGAUGAGAUCGCUUCAGUAAAGAGGCUUGCAGAGGCGGAGCAAAAGUUCUAGGUUUAUUUUGGAGGGUUUCUCUAUUUAUUGGAUUUUUCAGCAUUGAAAUCACGCUAAACGGACCCACGGGGUGGCCCAAAUGUAACAUGGCAUGCUCUGUUGCCUUGGGGGUAACCAGUGGCACCUCUCCGGUGGUUCUUCGCUCUAGUACAUCUUAUAUGUUCCAAAAAAAUCUUCAAAAAGCUUCGGGAAAUUUUGAGAACUUUUAUUUUCCACACAAAAACAACACCAUGGCAAUUCUGCUAAAAACAACGCUAGUCCGGGUUAGUUCCAAUUAAAUCAUAUAGUGCAUCAAAACCAUAUAAAAAUAUAGUAAACAUGUGUAAAUAUGGCAUUAAUACUUCAUAAAUUAUGGAUACGUUGGAGACGUAUGAGGACACCUGGCCCUAUAGUCUCCCGUGCCUUAUUCAUCCCCGGAAGAGUUCAUGCUAUCCCUCACUUGCGGACAUGAGGUCCACGAAGGAAAUGAUGGAGCCUUGGCUGCCGUGUCCCAUUGGGCCGCCUGAUGGUUCAUCAUUGGCACAUAGGAGGCAGAGUUGGUGUUGUUCUCCUUCGCGAUUGCCUGCAACUGCACCUUCAUGACAACUGCUUCCUCGUGAGUGGCGGAUUGAGCAUGUAUGGUAUCGUAGAUGGCACGCUGCUCCACGACUAAGUUCAUGUUCGUUGCAACCAUGGCCGCCACGGCCUCCUAGCUUGUGCGCUUGCUGUCAAUCUAACCUAACACGAGCUGAUGUUUCUUGAGCGCCCGCUCUAAUAUCGACAUACACACCACAUCAGGCUGCCCCUCUACCAUGGUGGCAUUUUAGUGUGCAUGCACCUACGCCGUGGUGAAGCCGAAGUGCACAUGAGACACGGGAGCCGGGGCAAUGUGAUACGUCUCCAACGUAUCUAUAAUUUUUGAUGGUUCCAUGCUAUUAUCUUGUCAACUUUGGAUGUUUUAUAUGCAUGAAUAUGCUAUUUUAUAUCUUUUUGGGAGUAACCUAUUAACUCAGUGCCUCGUGCCUGUUUCUGUUUUUUCCAUGUUUUUGACCUUUUUCAGAAAAGAAUAUUAAACGGAGUCCAAACGGAAUAAAACCUGCGGGAUGAUUUUUUCCAUAACAGAAGAUACGCAGGGGACUUGAGAACCAAGGCAGGAGACCUCGUGGGAGGUCACAAGCCCCCUAGGCGCGCCCUAGGGGGAGGGGCCGCGCCUGGCAGGCUUCUUAAUCAACAUCAUUGCCUCUCCGAUGAUGCGUGAGUAGUUCACCACAGACCUUCGGGUCCAUAGCUAGUAGCUAGAUGGCUUCUUCUCUCUCUUGGAUCUUCAAUACAAAGUUCUCCAUGAUCUUCAUGGAGAUCUAUCCGAUGUAAUCUUCUUUUGCGGUGUGUUUGUCGAGAUCCGAUGAAUUGUGAAUUUAUAAUCAGAUUAUCUGUGAAUAUUACUUGAGUCUCCUCUGAUCUCUUAUAUGCAUGAUUUCGUAUCCUUGUAAUUCUCUUUGAGUUAUGGGUUUUGUUUGGCCAACUUGAUCUAUAAUUCUUGCAAUGGGAGAAGUGCUUGGUUUUGGGUUCAUACCAUGCGGUGUCCUCACCCAGUGACAGAAAGGGUAGCGAGGCACGCAUCGUGUUGUUUCCAUCAAGGGUAAAAAGAUAGGGUUUAUACCAUAUUGCAUGAAUUAUCCCUCUACAUCAUGUCAUCUUGCUUAAGGCGUUACUCCAUUUGUUAUGAACUUAAUACACUAGAUGCAUGCUGGAUAGCAGUUGAUGUGUGGAGUAAUAGUAGUAGAUGCAGAAAGUAUCGGCCUACUUGUCUCGGACGUGAUGCCUAUAUGUAUGAUCAUUGCCUUAGAUAUCGUCAUGACUUUGCACGAUUCUAUCAAUUGCUCGACAGUAAUUCGUUCACCCACCGUAAUACUUGCUAUCAUGAGAGAAGCCUCUUGUGAACACUAUGGCCCCCGGGUCUACUUCACAUCAUAUAUUCAGAUCUACAAAAAUACCAAAAAUACUUUGUUGCACUUUUCACCUUCAGAUCUCACCUUGCAAAUAAUCGUGGAGGGAUUGACAACCCCUUUUUCACGUUGGGUACAAAUUCGUUUGUUUUUGCGCAGGUACAUUGGUGCCUCAUCUUGAUACUCCGACUGGAUUGAUACCUUGGUUCUCAAACUGAGGGAAAUACAUACGCUACUUUGCUGCAUCACCCUUUCCUCUUCAAGGGAAAAACCAACGCAAGCUCAAGAGGUAGCAAGUAGGAUUUUGGCGCCGUUGCCGGGGAGUAUUCAAGUGAAGCAUAUAUACCAAGUAACUAUCGCAAACUCUUAUCUUGCAUUUACAUUAUUUACCUUUUGCCUCUUGUUUUCCUCUCCCCCACUUCUCAUUUUUUUUACAAAAAUAUUUGCCUUUUUCGUUCGCCCUUUCUUUCGCUUGCUUUCUGUUUGCUUGUGUUGCAAUGUGCCUUCUAUUUCCUUGCAUCUUCACUUGCUAAAAAUCUAUUGAUAUGGAUCCUCAUCCACUUGUUAAUAUUUUCAAAAGACCAAAUUAUGAUGAACAAUUUUCUAGUGAGUUGAAUGCACUUGACCAUCUCUAUGGAGUUUUGUUUGAAAAUCAUGAAUCUGAAAAUUUGGAUGAAGUGUUGAAAGAAGAAAAUUAUCAAGUGGUUCAUGAUAUCUGCUUGAAUGAAAAACAUGAUUGCCAUGUUGUUAGUAUGAAUUCUCUGGAUAUCUAUGAUGCUAAUGAUAUGCAAAACCACAAGCUUGGGGAUGCUAUGCUUGAUGAAGAUGAUAUUUUUUGUUUCCCAAGUUUUGGUGAUGACCCUUAUGCUAUAAUUGAUCAUGAAAAGAAUUCUUUGCAUGAUAGUUAUAUUCAAAGAUUCCUUCAUGAUGUUACUGAAAAUUACUGUGAGAGAGGAACAUAUGCUUUUACAUAUUGCAAUAAUAUCAAGCUUCCUCUCUAUGUAUUCAACGUUUUGAAGUUAUGAUUGUUUUGCCUUCCUAUGCUAGUUAAUUCUUGUUCCCAUAAAUUGUUUGCCCACAAAAUCCCUAUGCAUAGGAAGUGGGUUAGACUUAAACGUGUUUUUUGCCAUUCAUGAUGCUCUUUUGCAUAUCUCAACUACUACUUUUUAUGUGAGCAUCAUUGAAAUCGUUAAGCCUAGCUAAGGGCGUUAAACGAUAGCGCUUGUUGGGAUGCANNNNNNNNNNNNNUGUUGGGAGGCAACCCAAUGAAUUUAUCUUUUUCUUUCUGUUUUGUUGUGUCCACACCAUCAUAAUUCAAUUAUGAUUGUGUUUCUUCUGUUUUAGUUUGUGUUUGUACCAAGUAGCACCUUUAUGAUUAGUUUUGGUGAUAGUUGUUUGAUCAUGCUGAAAAAGACAGAAACUUUGUGCUCAUGAUUUUUUUUAAUUCCUAUCCAGAAAGAGAUUUUGAGUUGAUUCUUUUUGCUGCUGAUUUAUAUGAUAAUUUCCCUAAUUUUCAUACGUUUUCAGAAUUUUUGGGAUACGAGAGGUAUACGAAGUAUUCUAUAGACUGGUUUGUUUUUGACAGAUUCUGUUUUUGUUGUGUUGAUUGCUUAUUUUGAUGAAACUAUGGUUAGUAUCGGGGGGUACUAGCCAUGGAAAAGUGAGAAUACAGUAAUAUAACAUCAAUCUAAAUAGAAAUCAAGUUUACUACAGUACCUAAAGAGUUGGUGGUUUGUUUUCUUAUGCUAAUGAUAUCACGAGUUUCUGUUUAAGUUUUGUGUUGUGAAGUUUUCAAGUUUUGGGUGAUGUUCUUAUGUACAAGGGAAUAAAUAGUGGAAGGAGCUUAAGCUUGGGGAUUCCCAAGACAUCCCAAGCCAAAUUCAAGGACACCAAAAAUCCUAAGCUUGGGGAUGCCCCGUGAAGGCAUCCCCUCUUUCGUCUUCAAUCCAUCGGUAACGUUACUUGGAGAUCUCUUUUUAUUCACCACAUGAUAUGUGUUUUCCUUGGAGCGUCGUGUAUUAUAGGAGUCUUUGCUUUUUGUUUUGUCACAAUCAUCCUUGCUGCAAACCUUUUUGAGAAGGACAUGCACUCAUCGUGAAUUUGUUAGAAUGCUCAAUGUGCUUCACUUAUAUCUUUUGAGCUAGAUAAUUUUGCUCUAGUGCUUCACUUAAAUUUUUGUAGAGCACGGCAGUGUCAUAUUUUUAAGAAAUAAUAACUCUCGAUCUUCACUUAUAUAUUUUUGAGAGUGCUCUCUCUAAGUAACUUGGUAAUUGGCGUGUGCUAUGAAAUUAGUCCCAAAUAUGAUAGGUAUCCAAAGAGGAUAUAAUAAAAACUUUCAUAUUCAAGUGCAUUGAUUAGUAAGAGAAGUUUGAUUCCUCACAAUUAGUUUUGAGAUAUGGAUAUGGUAAUAUUAGAGUCAUGUUAGUAGGGUGUUGUGAAUCUAGAAAUACUUGUGUUGAGGUUAGUGAUUCCCGUAGCAUGCACAUAUGGUGAACCGCUAUGUUAGGAAGUCGGAGCAUAAUUGAUUUAUUGAUUGUUAUCCUUUGUGUGGCGGUCGGGAUCGCUCGAUGGUUAAUGCUGCGGCAACAAAAGAACUUCCUUGGUGCUAGGAAGUCUUCUUGUUACUUCUCUGGUUUGCGUCGGUUUUUCCCUUGAAGAGGAAGGGUGAUGCAGCACAGGAGCAGUAAGUAUUUCCGUCAGUUUGAGAACCAAGGUAUCGAUCCAGAAGGAGGGCCUCAUCAAGUCCAGAGUACCUGCGCAAACACAAACAAGCUUGCACCCAAUGCUUCAAAGGGGUUGUCAAUCCCUUCAAGAUUGUUUGCAAAGUGAGAUCUGAAGGCGGAAAGUGCAACGAAGUAAAAAGUGUAAGGUUGAAAAUAUGGUGUGGAGUAGACCCUGGGGGCCAUUGUGUUCACUAGAGGCUUCUCUCAUAAUAGGAAAUAUCACGGUGGGUGAACAAAUUACUGUCGAGCAAUUGAUAGAACCGCGCAAAGUCAUGACGAUAUCUAAGGCAAUGAUCAUACAUAUAGGCAUCACGUCCGAGACAAGUAGACCGAUACUUUCUGCAUCUACUACUAUUACUCCACACAUCGACCGCUAUCCAGCAUGUAUCUAGUGUAUUGAGUUCAUGACGAACAGAGUAACGCCUUAAGCAAGAUGACAUGAUGUAGAGGGAUAAUCUCAAACCAAUGAUGAAAAACCCAUCUUUUUACCCUUGAUGGCAACAACAUGAUGCGUGCCUCGCUACCCCUUGUGNACAAGGAUAUGAAAUCAUGCAUAAGAGAGAUCAGAAGAAACUCAAAUAAGAUUCAUAGAUAAUCUGAUCAUAAAUCCACAAUUCAUCGGAUCUCGACAAACACACCUCAAAAGAAGAUUACAUCGGAUAGAUCUCCAUGAAGAUCAUGGAGAACUUUGUAUUGAAGAUCCAAGAGAGAGAAGAAGCCAUCUAGCUACUAGCUAUGGACCCGUAGGUCUAUGGUGAACUACUCACGCAUCAACGGAGAGGUCAUGGUGUUGAUAAAGAAGCCCUCCGUAUCCGAAUCCCCCCUCCGACAGGGCACCAGAACGUGCCCCAGAUGGGAUCUUGCGGAGACAGAAGCUUGCGGCGGUGGAAAAGUAAUUUCGAUGAUCUCCUGAUUUUUUUGGGAUUUUUAAGGAAUUUAUAGGCACAACCCCUAGGUCAGGGGGCGCUCAAGGGCCCCACAAGCCUGUGGGUCGCGGCCUAUCCGCCUGGCCGCGGGGUGGGGGCUUGUGGGCCCCUUGAGGCUCCCCUGCCUUGGCUCUCAAGCUUCUCGAUCUUCUUCCGUUCCGGAAAAAAUCUUUUCGGGGAUUUUCUUUCGUUUGGACUCCGUUUCAAAAUAUCGUUUGAUAGGGGUCAAAAACAUGGAAAAAACAGGAACUGGCACUUGGCACUGAGUUAAUAAGUUAGUCCCAAAAAACAUAUAAAAGGCAUGCAAAACAUCCAAAGUUUGACAAGAUAAUAGCAUGAACCCAUCAAAAAUUAUAGAUACGUUGGAGACGUAUCAAGCAUCCCCAAGCUUAACUCCUGCUCGUCCUCGAGUAGGGAAGUGAUAAAGAACGAAUUUUUGAUGUGGAAUGCUACCUAGCAUAGUUUUCCUUUGCAACUUCUUUCACAUGACAUGAAUGUUCUGAUCCGUAAGAUUCGAAACAAUAGUUUGCUCUUGACAUGAAAACAGUAAUACUUCAAGCAAACUAGCAAAGUAAUCAUGAACUUUCAAAAUAACAAGGCCAAAGAAACUUAUCCCUACAAAAUCAUAUAGUAUGGCUAUGCUCCAUCAUCCUCACACUACUAAUGUAAAUCAUGCACAACCCCGGUAUUGGCCAAGUAAUUGCUUUCACUCUCUUACUUUCUCAAACUUUUUAUAACUAUCACGCAAUACAUGAGCACGAGCCAUGGAUAUAGCACUAUAGGUGGAAUAGAGUGUGGUGGUGGCUGUGAGACAAAAAGGGAGGAGAUAGUCACAUUGACUCGGCGUAUCAAUAGGCUAUGGAGAUGCCCAUUAAUAGAUAUCAAUGUCAAUGAGUAGGGAUUGCCAUACAAGAGAUGCACUAGAGCUAUAAGUCUGUGAAAGCUCAAAAGGAGAACUAGUGGGUGUGCAUCCAACUUGCUUGCUCACGAAGACCUAGGGCAAUUUUGAGGAAGCCCAUCAUUGGAAUAUACAAGCCAAGUUAUAUAAUGAAGAUUCCCACUAGCAUAUGGUAGUGACAAAGCAAGAAGCUUUAAAUAAUGAAGAACAUGGUGCUAUCAUGAAGCACAAGUGUGGAAAAAGAUAGUAACAUUGUCCCUUCUCUCUUUUUCUCUUUUUUUUCAUUUGGGCUCUUAGGCCUCUUUUUUCUUUUCUUNNNNNNNNNNNNNNNNNNNNNNNNNNUUUUUUAUUUCCUCACAUUGGACAAUGCUCUAAUAAUGAUGAUCAUCACACUUUUAUUUA
rnacentral:lncRNA from 1 species